AGUUCAUCAAAUAUACCCCACUACUUAAACAUAUUUAUACAUAGAUGCGUCUGUGCGCGUACACCCGUACGCUUAUACGAGCAAUUGCUUGCGCUCAAGUUCUCUCACUAUUGAUAAACUUUCCAUUCAGCUGCUAAUAAACAAUUUUCUGAUCUUGUUGGAACAAUGUGGCGACCUGAUAUUGUCCAAUUCUUUGGAUUGUAGAUCUGUGUCGAUUUAGCCUAUUAUUAUUAAUAUUAUUAUAAUAAUUAUUAUUGUCUUUGCCAAGCUUCUAACGCUGGAGAUGUUCUACAGUAUCAGCUGUUCACUACCAGUGAACUCAGGUAACAUCUCUUAUUUUUCGAGCACCUUCCGGAGUGUUCGAACGGUUCCAAGCAGUGCUGUUUUCUGCAACUGAUCGACACUUAUUGCAGCCCCUAUUUGGUCCACGUACUUCUCGAGAUUUUUGCUCAUUGCUCCCAGGGAUCCAACAAUUAUUGCUAGCACUGCUACAUUUUUCAUCGACCACAACUGCUUAACUUCAUAAGCUAACCUGUCAUAUCUCUCAAAUUUUCUUUCGUCAAAUACCUGGAAUGUUCUAUAUCUCUGUCUGCUACUACUUGUAGCAUCUGUUAUUAUGUAAGCUUGAAUAUUAAACAUCCACAUCUUAUAUUAUUUAUCAAUAUGGUCAACUCCCAAGGGAUUAUUAUUAUGUUUAGUAGUAGCAGUAGUCGUCGUAGUCGUCGUCGUCGCAUUCGUAGCAGCAGUAGUAGUAGUAGUAGUAGUAGUAGUAGUAGUAGUAGUAGUAGUAGUAGUAGUAGUAGUAGUAGUAGUAAGUAAGUAAGUAAGUAAGUAGGUAAAAAUUAUAUUGCAGAUCGGAGAAUAUUUUUCUUGAUUUAAAUUUUACUCUUUUUCUCUUUUACUUGUUUCAGUCAUUUGACUGUGGCCAUGCUGGAUCACCGCCUUUAGUCGAGCAAAUCGACCCCAGGACUUAUUCUUUGUAAGCCUAGUACUUAUUCUAAUAGUCUGUUUUGCCGAACCGCUAAGUUGCGGGGACGUAAACACACCACCAUCGAGAACAAACAUAGACACACAAACAUACACACACACAUAAAAAGGGUAAAUACCCCCUUCGGUCAUGAGUGACCAUGGGUUUGCACCUAGAGAGUUACCCUCUGAGGCACAAGUCUGGGCAAGGUUUUAUGGAAGACCAGUAGUCGCCCAUGCAUACCGGCCUCCCCUCUCCACGCCACCAGUGUUAUCCAAGGGAAAGACAAAGGUCGAUACAGCUUGGCACCUGUGACGUCGCAACUCAUUUCUACAGCUGAGUGAACACACACACAUACAUAUAUAUAUAUAUACAUACAUGCGGCGGGCUUCUUUCAAUUUCCGUCUACCAAAUCCACGCACAGGGCUUUCGUCGGCCUGAGGCUAUAGUAGAAGACACCUACGCAAGGUGUCACGCAGGGGGACUGAACCCAGAACCAUGUGGUUGGUAAGCAACCUACUUACCACAGAGCCACUCCUAGAAAAUUAUUCUCCGAUAUGCAAUAUAAAUUUUACCUUCUUACUUACAUACUUACUUAGUUUUAAAUUUUAAAACAUUCGAUGACGAAUACAAAACGAAAUAUAGUGAAUUAUAAAAAGUAAUAAAUCUGUCACAACUACUAUCAAGUUUACCAUUUUCAAAGUUCAUACUAAAACUUGAGCGGAAAUUCCGAAAUUUGAAUAGCUUUCAUGAUGAUACUUUAUCUACGAACGAUGCUUUCAUGAAUGCUAGAAUAAUCACUGCUAUCUCAUGGUGAUUAUUUAAGCUUUUAAUUAAGAUACUAAUUAAAAAGCAUAGGAGGCGUUCCGUCUAUUUAAUUAAUUUUGUUAGAUGCUAAUCAUCAAAAUAGAGCAGCCUCUCAGAAAAGUAAUACGAUAUAAAUAUUUUCUACUAAGACACACACACACACACACACACACACACACACACACACACACACACACACACACACACACACACACACAAGCACACGCACACAUACACUAACCCGAUCAAGCUUGCUUGCUUGGUUAGGAGAGUGAUUGUUGGACACCCUGCAGGAGGAAAAAUGGGAUUUGUCAAAGGGCAGAAGAGUUCAUAAACAGUCAACAGCCAUCCAGCAAUUCGUUUUUGGGUGUAUAUAUGCAUGUUUGAAUGCACCUGAACGUGAAAAUACCAGGCUUGGUGUAUAGGUGCGUGAUUUUCCCAUGAUGGGGGAGGUCCCUCUAUUGACACAACAUCUCUUUAGGACAGGGAAACUGAGAGAAAAAACUAUGACACAAAAUUCGUUGUUGUAGAUUGGUUCUUCUUUUCGAGUUUAUGUUAUCCAUGUCUAGAGGGUGGGUGUGGAUUUGUGGAAAUCCUUCCCCACUAUUAAGAAAUGAUCAUGCAAAGACCUGUCACAAAAAUGUGAUAGGUCUUCCUUAUAUAUAUAUAUAUAUAUAUAUAUAUAUAUAUAUAUAUACAUAUAUAUAUAUAUAUACAUAUAUAUACGUACGAUAGAUACAUUCAUACAGAGACACACGUGCAUAGACGUAUAUAUGUGUGUAUGUGUGCCUGUGUUUGUGUGUGUAUGUGUAUUCCUGAAGGUACACAAGUUUAUGUAUGUCUGUAUAUAUAUAUAUAUGUCUCCAUUUCUCUCUCUCUUUCUCUGUGUAUAUGUGUGGUGGAAUGCACAUUUUCGUGUGUUAACAAAGCCUUAGUUUUAUGCAGAGAGAGGUGUUAUACAUGAGUAAUACCUUCAUGAUUUUAGUUGGGGUAUAUUAAUUGAAGAAUAUGAAAAUACAUUCUUUCUAAGCUGGACCUUAUGUAAAACAAGUAUUAUUUAGCACCGAAUAAUGAAAUUGCAUACUGAAUUAAUAAUAUCGAGGAGUAGCAAUGACAAUUCUCCUUUAUUUCACAAUAUUUAAAUUAGGAAAUUCCAUUUAUUUGCUACAGAAAACGAAAGUACACUAACACUUGCACUCCCCACCGCUGGUAACCAAACCCUUCCCAAUUAUUUGCCCUAUAUCAUUACACGACACAAUGAGUCACUUCGUCCAACGAAACGGCUUAAAUGUUCUGUUUCUUGUGCAAUACAUCAGAAUUUCCUACACUCGUCGGUCACUCUUCGGCCUUCCCCUCUCACCACUAUAACGAUGACAGCACUAUUUAAAUGUCAAUGUGACCAUGUGUGAUCGGAGUGUUUUUAUUUAUUUACUACCCACAAGGAGUUACACAUAGAGGGGAGAAAGAAGCCUAGUACUUAUGCUAAUAGUCUCUUUUGCCGAACCGUUAAGUUACGGGGACGUAAACACACCACCAUCGGUUGUCAAGCUAUGUUGGGGGAACAAACGGAUUAAGUCAAUUAUAUCGACCCCAGUGCGUAAUUCGUACUUAUUUAAUCGACCCCGAAAGAAUAAAAGGCAAAGUCGACCUCAGCGGAAUUUGAACUCACAACGUAGAGGCAGACGAAAUACCACAAAGCAUUUCGCCUGGCGUGCUAACGGUUCUGUCUGCUCGCCGCCUUUGGGAUCGGAAUAUUCUGCUGGCUUAUAUAUUGUGUCAUGAGACUAUAGUCAAAUUUGUAUCAAAAUGAUACCUCUUGUUAUAUGUCUAUGUCUUUUUUUUUUUUAUACCGGACGGAUACUUCAAUAUUCAUUACCCUGAUGGUUGGAGAAGACAGGGUCCGAAUAUUCGAAUAAUGCUUCUUUUCCACGUUGCUCUUUAUCAUUCAGUGCAAACUGGAAGACUCUCCGCUUUUUCAUACACAUAAAUCAUUCCAUUUUCAUUCUUGUUCAUUUUAAAAGGUUUCUUUAGGCACAGAUUUUUUUCCAACUUAUUGCUUCUAAAUUUCCGUCCUUGUCAGGAUUAUAUUUCUAUCAAAAAAUGCUUUUUCAAAAACAGUAGCAGAACCGUUCCUGUUUUCUCUGACUUUCUCGCUCGGAACGUAAUUAAAUGUUGUUCAUGUUGCUAUAGUUGUUAUUGAUGUUAUCAAAAGUUUCGUUAGAAAUGUUCUCACUAAUGUCGCGUCUUAAGAUAUAUAGUCUCCCGAUACAUUCUUUCGAAAGCAUUCACAUUGUUGUUACUGUUAAACUUCGUCAAAAUCUUGUUCGUACGUAACCAUCACGAUGUUCCGUAUGAACCAAAUACCAAGCAAUUAAGCGGAGCUUCAAUACAACGGUAUUCACUAUCCAGUGUGGGCUCGACUUUCAAGGAGUCGAUUUUAAUCUUUAAAUCGACACCAUCCUGUCUGGGAGUGCUAAAUCCAGCUGGAACAGCUGAUAAAGUGUUGUAGUUCGUUACUUCGAGUAAGGCCUUCAUAAUACACAAUUGUUCAACAGCUGCAAAUUACAAAUCAAAUUAUAAUCGACUUCAGGAAAGUUACGCUAGACUUGAAAUACGUCCCUGUGUCUGUAUCUCCCCACCCGUUCAUAAAAGGUGUAAAUCCUAAAAUCCUGUGAUUUGUAAAGAUGUGGUUGCUAUUUCUGAUAGUUCCGUAGAGAUUUCACCGUUUCUCAAUAACUCCAUUGCCGCCAAUGUGAAUAUCUUCUCUUGAUGUGGAUUGUGCAGACUGGUGGUGUGGACUCCAGCUCUUAGUUUCGUAUAUUGUAGUUUACGUUUGUCGCUAUUAAGCUUGUUUCAAUCAAUCCGUUUGUCUUUAUUUGUUAGCUUUCUUCUAUCAUGUCAGAAAUUUUACAUUUCAUUAGGAAAGCGUUGAUUUGUUUGCUACAGGUAAGAAUGCCGUUCAUAUGAUCAGUUUUCCUUUAAUUUCAUUUUGAUUUAAAGAGCAGUUUCUGACCGAGCUGUUCAUUAUGCACACUUUAAUUUUAUUGGAGUUCUCAGAACCAGGCCUGGUAUACAUAUAAAACACAAGAAGAUUCCAUUUGUUUCUUUAACAUGCCAAAUUCACCUUAUCUCUUCGAAGUGGCACGGACAAUAAGCACCUGCUUUUAUCGGACGUAUGUUCACAAUAGGAAGGUCCACUUACUCUUCUGUUUGUAGUUACGAAUAUUUUUUUAAUGCUUUUUAUUGUCUUUAAAUGCUUGAAAUACCCUAUUGUGCAUUCGUUGAUAACAGAAGAAUGUUGUGUGAAUGAUUUAUCUCCUAAUAAUUCAAAAGUGGCAAACUUUCGAAUUGGUCGUAACAUAAGACUAUGUUAAGAUGUAGGAAAAUUUAUCUUUAAUCUCAAUAUAUAUAUACACACACUAUGUACAAUAAACAUUUUUCUAUACGUAUAGAAUUAAAUAUGUUGUUUGGAGUCUGGCCUUUGCUAAAUGCGUUUCCUAUUUGUAUGAUACAAGUUUUUUCAGUAACAUGCAUGUAUAAGUUAGUAUUAAUAUGGAUCAGUUGGGGGACAUUUCAUUGAAGCUUUCUAAACUAUUAACAAGGUAUACACUAUUUCAUUACAGCUAUCGACAAAUGUAUGUUCUAUUUUUGCCAAACAUUUGGUAAAGCUGGGUUGAUUGAGAGAAAAUGUUUAUCACUGUUAUAAACAGUUUAUAUAUGUUGGAUGUUUACUCAUGCUCAAGUGCGUAUUUCAUCAGAUGUUUUUCAUAUUUGUUAUAUAUACUUUAUUCUUUCAUACAAACUCACACACACGCAAACACACAUACACGCACACUCAUACACAUUUGCACAUACACGUACAAAUACUCAGGCACAAACACAUACACUUACAUGCACACAUGUAUAUAUAUAUGUGUGUGUGUAUGUACAUAUAUAUAAAUAUAUAUAUAUAUAUAUAUAUAUAUAUAUAUAUACAUAUAAAUAUAUUAACAUAUAUGUACAUAUAUAUACAUACACAUAUAUAUAUAUAUAAAUGUAUAUAUGUCUAUAUAUAUGUAUAAAUAUAUAUUCACAUAUCUAUACCUAUAUGUCAAUAGAUAUAUAUUUAUAUAUAUAUAUAUAUAUAUAUAUAUGAUAUGCAUACAUAUAUAUAUAUAUGCCUACACAUACAUACACCCAUAUGUACAUAUAUACCUAUGUAUGAAUGGCUGUAUGUGUAUAUAUAUAUAUGCAUGUAUGCAUCUCUCUUACACUUUUUCUUAUUACAUCAUGAUAAUAGAAUUCAGCACGAGAAAAUAUCGUUAUAGCGAGCAGAAUAUUCGCUAUUUUCCUGCUCAUAUUACUCACUGGAUUUUAUUUCAUCUGUAGACAGAGAAUUCGAUUUUCUAGUAAAAUAUUUAGCUUUCUUCUACAUUAUUACUUACAGUUAUUAUGACUAAUGUGAUGUAUAUAUGGCUGACGUUGCUUACGCUAGUUUUAACAAGGAAUUUUACAUCAAUUUUCUUUCCAUUUGUUCAAUUGAUUUUAUUUUGAAUUCGUCCAGGUAAAACAUAUAGACCCUCAUAUCUAUACAGUCAUAGCUAUUGCGAAAUAAUGCUACGCCAAUAUAUCUAGAGGAUUUAGACCGUGUAAGAAAACACAGUAAUAUGCUAUUCAUUAGCUGCCUUCUCUGUCGAAUCACUUCACUAAAGACUCUCCACUACACAUCAGUUCUUAAAAUAUAAGGUUCAUGAAUUCAGUGGUUAUGUUAUGAUUUUAUUUCUUGUAAUAACACCCGUGUUUAUUCAGAGAGUAAAAGGGAAAAUAUCGUGUACAAUACUCCUAAAUAUAUAUUUAAUCUUUAAACCCUGAUGAAAAAGAAUCAAUAUCUGAAUUAUAAUGAUUAUAACUCCAUUGAAAUAAUAUAAUAGCAAUAAAAGCGCAGAAACAAAGGCCUCUAUAUGUUAGAUCAAAGAAAACUCUAUUAGAAGUAUUCAAGAAAUACAACCAGAAUGUGCGUAGAGAGGCAUUUUCAAUAGGAUAUUCAGAACCUCCAAAUUAAGUAAACACACACAAACACACCACUCAAUAUGUAUAUGUUUCUAUGUAUAUUUUACAGGAGAUAAUAUUUCCAGUUCUCUCUUAUUCCGACGAUAUUGUUAGAAAAACAUUGUUCCUUUGUUUCAACUAUCACAAAAAUCGACGAACAGGGGAGAAGCUCAGCGUACAAAAGACCACCACAUAGCAGUACGACCUCAUACGACGUCGCCGGUCGGCAAACAGACAGUUAAAUACACGUGCUGACUGUGGCUUAGACGUUUCUGACACUUAUUUCCAGCAACGCCGGUAAUCCCUCUAAACUUAGUCGCUUUGUAGUGACAAUGAAUUGUUUCUUUUUUGUUUUAAAUUGCAUCUAGCCAUUGUGCGGAAUCAGCCGCUGAUUCCUUUGGUAAAAUCUACAAGUAUUGACAGCCUUGAGUUCAGCUUCACCACCCGCUAUUGAGUAAGCAUUACUGAUGAGUAUUAAUGUCUAUACAAAUAAGCAUGCUAACUUAAUGUACCUCGCUUGCGGUAGGGAUGAUAUCUCCCAUGUUAGCCGAGUAGAACAUGUGCUUUCUGUGGUUAAAAAAUCUCCGACUGUUAUUUCUCGCAAUCCUGGUGCUCGCUGCACUUUUGGUCACUUUUAAGUGACGGUGUAUUACACACACACACAUAUAUAUAUAUAUAUAUAUAUAUAUAUAUAGAGAGAGAGAGAGAGAGAGAGAGAGAGAGAGAGAGAGAUACAUACAUAGUAUAUGUGUAUGUGUACUCAAAACAUAUUUAUGUAUAUAUAUGUACAUAAUAUAUGUACACACAGUAAUAUUAAUAUAUGUUUUUAGUACGUACGCAUAGGAAAUCACAUAUAAUGCUGAGAGUGGCAGUGAAAAUAUAGUGUCAAUAAAUUGUAACCUGUUCGUAUAAAAGUGUGAACAAUCACCUGAUAUAUGUUUCAUCAGCGGAAGAAACGUGGGUCUCUUUUAUUUCAACUGACAAUAAAUGUACUUAUCAAAAAUAAAGCUAUAUUACAUCUGAGAGCUUAUGCACAUGCUACCAUUAUAAUGCACCGGAUUUAUAUGCGAAAUCAUAUGCAAAAUUCUUCAUUCCUUACAAAAUAAUGCUGAGAAAACUAACUGUAAACAAGUCACAGGUUUAUCUGUUCAUAAGACUUACUGAACGACAAGUCAUCAUGUGCUACGAUAUUUUGACAUCUAUGUCAUAAAACAUGAAAUCCAUAUUCAGUAUUUCUAGUAAACCUAAGUGCCACUCAUAUCAUCUUUUAAGUAUAUUGUAUAUUAACAUAAUAUACUAUCCAUUCAAAGCAAUGCUCGGUAUUUUCCUUCAUUCACAAACGUCGUUCAUCAGACUGUAGAUAACAUUACUUCAGUUGUUGAUAGCAUCACAUCGUUUAUCAGUGUCCAGAAACUUGCAUAAUUUACCUAACAACAGAUGAAUAAAAGGAUAUUGGCGGCGUUUGGUGUGACUAGAGAAACUAAAUCACAUGCAAAAGAAUACAUCAAUAUCAGCUUCUGAACUUUGGUUGACAUCUUCAGAAUAUUUUUUUUGCUCUGAGAUUACAAUUAUGUUUCGGGAAUAUUUGCACAGUUCAUCCUAAAUUUACACAUACACAGAUAUAUGUUAUCCAGUAUGCACUCUCUUAAUCUAAACUCCUUGACUGUCAAGUGAAACUGAGCUGCAACGAAAUGGAGCUGCUGCUGUAAGGCGUGAUUCACGCAUUUCAAGUGACAAUGGUUAUAAUAUAUAUUUAGGCAGAUGUGCUCUUUUUCAGGGAAACGGUUAGCAAUACAUUUCAACAUCCAAGAGCACAUAUAUGCCUCGUGCAACAAGAACAUACAUGAUCUAUUUAACUAUCUGUCUAACCAUCUAACUCAAGCUGUCCCUCUGUCCCACUCUCUCUCUCUCUCUCUGUCUCUCUGUAUAUAUAUAUAUAUAUAUAUAUAUAUAUAUAUAUAUAUAUAUAUAUAUAUAGUAAGGAAAAUUUUUUUUAAAAAAUGCAGAAUGCUCAAUUCUGCAGAAUGCUCAAUUCUGCAGAAUGCUCAAUUCUGCAGAAUGCUAUAUAUAUAUAUAUAUAUAUAUAUAUAUAUAUAUAUAUAUAUAUAUAUAUAUAUAUAUAUACUGUUGGGAAGAGUCUUUGUCUUAUAAUUUAUCACAUUCACCGGUAAAAUUUCCACUUUCCCAAAAUAAAAUAUAUAUAUAUACAUAUGCAUAUGUAUACAUACAUACAUAUAUAUAUAUAUGUGUGUGUGUGUGUAUAUAUAUAUGUGUGUGUGUGUGUGUGUAUAUGUAUAUAUGUAUGUUUAUAUGUGUGUAUGUAUGCAUGUAUGUAUAUAGAUAGAUAAAUAGGUAUAUAUUACAUAUAUAUUACAUAUAUAUAUAUAUAUGCACGUGUGUGUUUGUGUAUGUGUGUAUAUGCGGUGGUGUAUUCAAGAGAAUGAGUAGAGAUGGCUUUUUUGAGGGAAUAAUUUUUUAAAAUUUUAAUAAUGUUUACAAAAUAAAAAAUUUGCCCUCAGAAAUGCCAUCUCUAACCAUUCUUUCAAAUAUAUAUAAUACUGCACCAAUAACUUUCUAUUUAUUAUUCUACUAAAUGUGUGAAUAUGUGCGUGAUUGUGUGUGCGCGCGUGAGUGUGCGUGUGUGUGUGUUUGUGGGUGUGUGUGUGUGUCCGAGUGAACCACGGACAUUCCUGUCGUAAGACGACGUAUGAGGAUUCGGCCAUUUCCUGCCGAAAAAUAACUCAGAUCAAAAUUUGUGUACACAUAAGCUCAUUCCCACCAUCAACUCGGCAUUACUUAUAGAGUUGUACCGUAUACCAAAUGUCAUGUGACGAAAUGUUAGCAGAGCAAUAUUAAAUAAAGUGCAUUGCUUAAGAACUCAACGCAGCUCCCAGUCUGGAAAUCGAACCAACGAUCUCGCAGUCAUGAGUGCAACACCCUAAAAUCUGAGCCAUGUAUGCAUGAAUGUAACUCAAUAAGUUGUAGGCAAAAACGAGUACACAGGAUCAUAUAUUUCUAAUCACUACAAUUGUUUCCAGGCCUCAUAGUUCUUCAGUUUUGCAAGUAUUUAUUUAUGUAACCGUUUCCCAUCGUUAUAGGAUCUGCUUGCCUUUCCUCAGAUGAUAUAUAAAUAUUGUUUCUCUGUUACAUAUAUAUAUAGAGAGAUUUGAAAAGCCCACUAGAAUGGGAGCAAGCGCUAAUCCGAAUGAUAUGAUAUGAUGUAUAUGUAAAAAAUGUAAUAUAUAAAUAAAUAUCUACAAAUAUGAACCAUCUGAUCUGAUUACCUCAUUUUUUCUAAUAUAUGAUACAUGUACAUCAUCUCCAAACCUUCCGAUAUAUAUAUAUAUAUAUAUAUAUAUAUAUAUAUCAUCAUCAUCAUCAUCAUUAUUCGACCGUGGACGAGACAAUGGAAUUUACCAUGCUACGCCAGACUUCACGGUCCAUCAUGGCAUUACGGAGGUCCUGUUGCUGGAUGCAUGUAUCCCUAGAGAUUACAUCAGGGUAGGAGAGUGUGCGCCCUCUGGCAUUGCGAGUAGAUGGCUUCCAGAGGAGAAGAGUAGAAAUUACUUCAUUUUCAGCUCUACAACAAUGUCCAGCAAACUGGACUCUCCUACCUUUCACAAGAGAUGACACACAUAUAUAUAUAUAUAUAUGCAUACAUACAUACAUAUUAUGGUUUUCUGUUAAAUAUAUAUUUAAAGUAUGCUUUAUAUGUAUCAUUGCCAUUUAUUGUCAUUAAAAACUAUCCAGAUGGGCUAUUUUCAUUCAAAAUCUAUUACCAUGUUUCACCCUAAACCUGAAGGAUCUGAAAUAGAAAAGAAAGGCCGUUACACAGAAUAAUGAAAACACAACAAUAGUGUUGACAUAGUGUGCAAAACCAGAUGGGAAAAGCUUUAUCAAAAUCGAUUCACAGAAAACCAAGAAAUAGUAAAUUUCACUUGUAACCUAUUAGCGUGGUUGUGGGUGUAUAUACAUAUGUAUGUGUGUAUGUGUGAGUGUGUGUCUGUCUGUGUGUGUUUGUGUGGUGUGUGUCAAUGUGUGUGUGUGUGUGUGUGUGUGUGUGUGUGCAUGUGUGUGUGUGUACGGAUGUAUUGAUGGAUGGACUGAUUUAUAUAUGCAUGUAGUCACACAUAUAAUUAUCUUACUUUUUUAUAUGAUGUGAAAUAUAUGAUGGGAAAUUCCAAAACCUCGUCGUGGAAUUAACGGUUGACUAGUACAUUUACAUAGAGAAAUUAAUACACUAUCGUACAUUCCUCACCCUGGUCAUACUCUUCACCCUGGUCAUGCAUCUCUGUAUGAUAUUGUUUGGUCUGUAAAGUUUAUAAUAUUCUAAAGAUUAGUGAGUGAGUGAACGUAAAUUUAAUUAUGAGAGGUGUCGGCUUCAAGUUCACAGUCAGAGUAUUAAUAAAUCUGAAAUACAUGAAUUUUUCCUAAAGAUAUUUCUAUAAAGAUAUUUACGUUAUUAUAAGCGGAGACUCCAGUUCGAUCUUACAUAGAAACGGUGCUAACCGCUUCUCCUGAGCGUGGUUAUAGCUUUGGUGAUUUAGUGAUGUAUCCUAUUUAAAACUGACACCCACUAAAAUUCGACAGCUUUACCGUGUUGGGGAGAUUGAUCAUCAACAUUCAUGAAAGAAUUAAUUUAAUUGUCUAAAUUAAUUUCAUAAAUUAGGUUGUUAAUGCCACGUCGUAAUAUUCGCUGGAAUAAUUUAAAGAAAAUGUGAGCGUAAUUUAUUUAAAAUAGUUUUAUGAAUAUUCUGAUAAAACUGUUUGAUAACUAUUCCGAUAAAACGAUUAGAUAAAAAUUCGUCACAUGUGUCGAUACUAUAAUUUAAUAAAAUAAGCUCAUAAAACGUAGUCAUAAACUUCCUUACUGUCUAACACUAAUCUAUGCUUUGAUCUACUUAACCAUUUCAAUGUUAAUGAUGUUGGUCAUACAAGCUGGCCUACUGAUACAUCAGUAUUUACUUAUAUUGCUAUUAAAAUCCUUAUCUAUACACAUAGGAAAUAGUAAUGUUGGGAAAUUUCUGCAAAACUCGUGAAGAUUCAGUGAUAUGGCAGCCAUCCAGACACGCACCUCUAGAUGAGAGGAAGCGUUUAGUUAACCCUGAAAUAACGAAAUAAAGUCAGAUCACCCGCAAGUGUAUGUGUGUGUUUAUAUCUAUGUGUGCGUAUAGAAUAGUGUAUAUGUGUUUGUGCGCAUGUCUGUGUAUGUAUGGUAUGCGUAUGAAUGUGUUCUCCUGCACAGAGAUGCAAACUGGCAAACUUGAUUGCCUACUGAAGCGAUUGCUAUCAAUUUAUGCGUAAGACAUUAUACAUCACCCACUAUCCCGUUCAUUAAAGUUGCCCUUUCAAUUUCAGCUGAUACAUUAUUGAAUUGAAUUUAUUUGAUUAUGAAGAGCAACCACUCUUUACUCGGAAUUGAAAUGCAUGCUAUUUCCUACUCGUAUUUGAAUAAAGUAAAUUCAAUUGCUUUCUGGGCUGCUGGGUGUUUGAGAUACACAUUUAGGAAGAAAGGCAGGGAUUAUUUAUGUAAGACAAGGUCAGGGCAUGUGUUAAUAUUGACAUGUGAUUCUAAACUCUCCGCUUUCUGCUUCUUUCUUUUUUUAUAUUUUUGUGGGGCGAGGUUCACAUAUGUUAAAGACUCACAUGUCAUGUUUUAAAGAGAGUGAGAUGUUAGAAUACGCUUUUUUUUUUUGAUAACACAUUUGUUACUGAAAUAGUCUUUAACAAUAAUUCUUAUUAGAGAAUCAGGAUAUUGAGAGUUUUACAUUCUUUGAGGCAAAAUAUUAGCAUUAACAAUAGUCACGUAUUCGGAAUUUUGUCUGCUAUGUCCUGGUAAAAAUCACAAUAUAAGUUUUAUAUCAAUUGUAGUAAUUCUAAUCAAGAAAAUUUUGAAAAUGUACACACAUACACAUACACGCACACCUACACACACACACACACAUACACACGCACAUACACACGCACAUACACACACAAACACACACACAUACACACAGGCGCAAGCACGAACAGUUAACAAAUAUAAUAUGUAUAAAUAUAUGGGUGUAUAAAUAACAGCAUAAGGGAAUGUUCCCAGUCGGAAAGCAGAGGUUUCUGUCUUUUCAACGACACACAUAUUCUAGGUUUGUUAUACAGCCAAAUAAUAAUAAUAAUAAUAAUAAUAAUAAUAAUGAUCAUAAUCAUAAUCACAAAGAUAAUCAUGAUGAUGAUGAUAAUGAUAUUAAUAAUAAUAAUAACAAUAAUAAUAAUAAUAAGCAUAAUCAUGAUGAUAAUGAUAAUGAUAUUAAUAAUAAUAAUAAUAAUAAUAAUAAUAAUAAUAAUAAUAAUAACAAUAAUAAUAAUCAUAAUCAUAAUCACAAAGAUAAUCAUGAUGAUGAUGAUAAUGAUAUUAAUAAUAACAAUAACAAUAAUAAUAAUAAUAAUCAUAAUCAUGAUGAUGAUGAUAAUGAUAAUAAUAAUAAUAAUAAUAAUAAUAAUAAUAAUAAUAAUAAUAAUAAUAGUAAUAAUAAUAAUAGAAACAGCUCAAACGGAAGAUGAACCUAAGGGAAAAAAUUAUAAUGGAAUUACCAAUAAGGAAGGACAUCUGGCACCAACGUCUUAAGUGAUUUAAGUGAGGAAGAUCACAAGAUUUUAUAUGAGUUGCAGGAAGUAAUGAGUAAAGAAGUAAGAAAUAUACUGUCAGCAUUAAAAUGUACCAACAGAAGGAAGUUACAAGAAAUGAAUAGCAAAGUAGAUUCUGUUAUCAGUAGGAUAGAUGCUAAAAAUAAAGAAGACUAGCUUAUUGAUCUAUGCAGGAGGGGCAGUAGUUACCAGGAGAUUAGAUAUCUCACAGGGAGAGGUUACAAAGGAUAAAAUGUGGAAAAGGAGACUACUAAAGAAAGUGAAGAUCUGAGUUGAAUACAAGUCUGGAAAACAAACAAGUUAGGAAACUCAAGAUGCAAAUCUUGCCUCGAGGAAAGAUGAUUUAAAGGAAAGGAUUUGGGACAAUAAGAGAAGGUUUAAACAGCGUACCAUAACAGUACCAGACAAGCUCUCCGGAAAAGAAUAGAUCAGUAUCGACAGAGUAGAUUAUUUGAGAAAGACCAGAAGGGAUGUUUUAACCAAAUAAAUAGUGGAGAAUAAAGUACUGAAUUUGAGAAACCUAAGGCAGAGGAACCUAGAAAGUUCUGGAGUAAUAUUGCGGACAAACCAGUCAAUCAUAAUGAGGAUGUAGUAUGGUUAAAGAAAGUGAGGUAAUAAGUAGUGAGUGAAAAGCAGCCAGAUCUAAGAUUAACUGGUGUAUUAAUGAGUAAGGUAUUAGCAAAAAUGCCGAACUGGAGGGCCCAAUACCAGAUUUAGUUCAAGGGUACAGGGUAAAGAAAUUCAGUAGUGUACAUGGGAGUUGACGGAACAACUUAAGGCUUGUCCUAAUGGAGGAAUAAUACGAGAUUGGAGGAUUAGAGGGAGAACAAUACGCAUUACGAUGGAUAAGAGCAAAAGUAAUAUAUAUUUCUUUAUUGCCCACAAGGGACUAAACAUAGAGAGGGCAAACAAGGACAGACAAACGGAUUAAGUCAAUUACAUCGAUCCCAGUGCGAAACUGGUACUUUUAUUUAUCGACCCCGAAAAGAUGAAAGGCAAAGUCGACCUCGGCGGAAUUUGAACUCAGAACGUAACGACAGACGAAAUACCUAUUUCUUUACUACCCACAAGUGGAUAAACACAGAGAGGACAAACAAGGACAGAGAAACGGAUUAAGUCGAUUACAUCGACCCCAGUGUGUAACUGGUAGUUAAUUUAUCGACCCUGAAAGGAUGAAAGGCAAAGUCGACCUCGGCAGAAUUUGAACUUAGAAAGUAAUGGCAGACAAAAUACGGCUACGCAUUUUGCCCAGUGUGCUAACGUUUCUGCCAGCUCGCCGCCUUAUGCUUACAGCACCUAGGUUUCCCAAGCGGUCACCCAUCUAAGUACUAACUAGGCUCGAUGUUGCUUAACUUCGGUGAUCGGACGAGAACCGGUGCUUUCAACGUGAUAUGGCCGUCAGCAGACGAAAUACCGUUAAGCAUUCCGCCCAGCGCGCUAACGUGUCUGAGCAGGUAUAGACCAAUCACUUACUUAGCAUUAAUGUGGAAGAUAUUAGCAGGAAUGCUUUCAGAAAGCAUUUAUGAACACCUUGACAACCUGAAUUUACUACCAGAAAGGUUGCAAGAAGUUGGCUAGAAGAAUACUUGAUCUAUUAUAUAUAGACAAAACAGUUAUAAAUGAAGUAAAAGCUAGAAAGAAAUAUCUAACAAUAACAUGUAUAGAUUAUAUGACAUGCUCCCACACUCAUCGAUAAGUGAAUGUUUGUGUUUAUUCAGUAUAGCAGAAAACAUAAGAGAAUUAGUUAGGUUCAGCAUGAAGAAAUGGGAAGUAGAUCUUUACUCUCUUAGGGAAAGAUAAUAUCCUCUUUAAUCUUUGUCUUCUGUUUGAUCCCCUUCAGUUUAGUAUUAAGGGAAUCAAAGGCAGGGUAGCAGUUCAGAGGUUCCAAUGGAAAAAAUAACCAUUUGCUCUACAUGGAUGAUCUGAAGCACUUAAGUAAAAAUGAAAAAAGAGACAGAUUCUUUAAUACAGACUGGAGGACUCUCCAGCAAAUAUAUUGGCAUGGAAUUUGGCAUAAAUAAGUGUGCAAUAUUAGUCAUUAGAAGAGGGCAGUUAGUCAACAGUGAAGGCAUCCGGUUACCAGACGGCCAGACGUUUAUAUCAUUGAAAGGUGGAGAGAGUUAUAAGUAUCUAGUAGUAUUAGAAUAUGGCAGAGUGCUAACAACAGAAUGAAAACGAAAAUAGAGGAGGUGUACGUCAGAAAAGUGAGGAAGCUAAUGAAGUCAAAGCUAAAUUGUCCGAAUCUACUGAAGGCUGUAAAUACUUGGGCAGUAUCAUUAUUUACAUACUCAGCAGCUUUUGUUGAUUGGACAAAAGAAGGUCUAGGAAGGAAUUCAAUAUGAAUGAACGACUCCACCCAAGGGCAGGAGUAGCAGUAUUAAAGCUACUUGGACAUUAUUAUUAUUAUUAUUAUGGUCAAUUAUAGGUACAAGACUGCGUGGAGUUAGCUAGAUUACAUAUAGACCUCUAUGCAGUUAAUAAUGAAAACAUUUUAUUAAAAGCUGCUAUAGUCACAGCAAGAUAUAGAACUAACGAAAUGAAAAUUAUUAUUAUUAUUAUUAUUAUUAUUAUUAUUAUUAUUAUUAUUAUUAUUAUUAUUAUUAUCAUUAUUAUUAUUAUUAUUAUUAUUAUUAUUAUUAUUAUUAUUAUUAUUAUUAUUAUUAAUUAUUAUUAUUAUUAUUAUUAUUAUUAUUAUUAUUAUCAUUAUUAUUAUUAUUAUUAUUAUUAUUAUUAUUAUUAUUAUUAUUAUUAUUAUUAUUAUCAUUAUUAUCAUUAUUAUUAUUAUUAUUAUUAUUAUUAUUAUUAUUAUUAUUAUUAUUAUUAUUAUUAUUAUUAUUAUUAUUAUUAUUAUUAUUAUUAUUAUUAUAUUAUUAUUAUUAUUAUUAUUAUUAUUAUUAUUAUUAUUAAUAUUAUUAUUAUUUAUUAUUAUUAUUAUUAUUAUUAUUAUUAUUAUUAUUAUUAUUAUUAUUAUCAUUAUUAUUAUUAUUAUUAUUAUUAUUAUUAUUAUUAUUAUUAUUAAUAUUAUUAUUAUUAUUAUUAUUAUUAUUAUUAUUAUUAUUAUUAUUAUUAUUAUUAUUAUUAUUAUUAUUAUUAUUAUUAUUAUUAUUAUUAUUAUUAUUAUUAUCAUUAUUAUUAUUAUUAUUAUUAUUAUUAUUAUUAUUAUUAUUAUAUUAUUAUUAUUUAUUAUUAUUAUUAUUAUUAUUAUUAUUAUUAUUAUUAUUAUUAUUAUUAUUAUUAUUAUUAUUAUUAUUAUUAUUAUUAUUAUUAUUAUUAUUAUUAUUAUUAUUAUUUAUUAUUAUUAUUAUUAUUAUUAUUAUUAUUAUUAUUAUUAUUAUUAUUAUUAUUAUUAUUAUUAUUAUUAUUAUUAUUAUUAUUAUUAUUAUUAUUAUUAUUAUUAUUAUUAAUAUUAUUAUUAUUUAUUAUUAUUAUUAUUAUUAUUAUUAUUAUUAUUAUUAUUAUUAUUAUUAUUAUUAUUAUUAUUAUUAUUAUUAUUAUUAUUAUUAUUAUUAUUAUUAUUAUUAUUAUUAUUAUUAUUAUUAUUAUUAUUAUUAUUAUUAUUAUUAUUAUUAUUAUUAUUAUCAUUAUUAUUAUUAUUAUUAUUAUUAUUAUUAUUAUUAUUAUUAUUAUUAUUAUUAUUAUUAUUUAUUAUUAUUAUUAUUAUUAUUAUUAUUAUUAUUAUUAUUAUUAUUAUUAUUAUUAUUAUUAUUAUUAUUAUUAUUAUUAUUAUUAUUAUUAUUAUUAUUAUUAUUAUUAUUAUUAUUAUUAUUUAUUAUUAUUAUUAUUAUUAUUAUUAUUAUUAUUAUUAUUAUUAUUAUUAUUAUUAUUAUUAUUAUUAUUAUUAUUAUUAUUAUUAUUAUUAUUAUUAUUAUUAUUAUUAUUAUUAUUAUUAUUAUUAUUAUUAUUAUUAUUAUUAUUAUUAUUAUUAUUAUUAUUAUUAUUAUUAUUAUUAUUAUUAUUAUUAUUAUUAUUAUUAUUAUUAUUAUUAUUAUUAUUAUUAUUAUUAUUAUUAUAUUAUUAUUAUUAUUAUUAUUAUUAUUAUUAUUAUUAUUAUUAUUAUUAUUAUUAUUAUUAUUAUUAUUAUUAUCAUUAUUAUUAUUAUUAUUAUUAUUAUUAUUAUUAUUAUUAUUAUUAUUAUUAUUAUUAUUAUUAUUAUUAUUAUUAUUAUUAUCAUUAUUAUUAUUAUUAUUAUUAUUAUUAUUAUUAUUAUUAUUAUUAUUAUUAUUAUUAUUAUUAUUAUUAUUAUUAUUAUUAUUAUUAUUAUUAUUAUUAUUAUUAUUAUUAUUAUUAUUAUUAUUAUUAUUAUUAUUAUUAUUAUUAUUAUUAUUAUUAUUAUUAUUAUUAUUAUUAUUAUUAUUAUUAUUAUUAUUAUUAUUAUUAUUAUUAUUAUUAUUAUUAUUAUUAUUAUUAUUAUUAUUAUUAUUAUUAUUAUUAUUAUUAUUAUUAUUAUUAUUAUUAUUUUUAUUUAUUAUUAUUAUUAUUAUCAUUAUUAUUAUUAUUAUUAUUAUUAUUAUUAUUAUUAUUAUAAUCAUCUUCACCAUCAUCAUUAAUAGUAGUAGUAGUAGUAUUAGUAGUAGUAUAAUAAGUAGUAAUAUUAACAGAAGUGCAGUGGCAGCAGCAGCAGCAGCAAUAGCAGCAGCAGUAGCAGCAGCAGCAGUAGUAUUGGUAGUAGUAUUAGUAGUAGUAGUAGUAGUAGUAGUAGUAGUAGUAGUAACACUAUUUGUAAUUGUGUAAUAUAAAUUUUAAAUCUGUAAACUUCGAUUCUGAGACUUGAAAUAACUAUAGAAAUAUAAUUUAAAUCAAAUUUUUUGAAGACAUAAAAAAGGGAAUUCUGAGUUGAUAGUCUUUCUUUAGCAAAGUACUGUAAACAACGUGUAGGCAUACAGUACUAGACCUGCUUAAAAUCCACUUUAAAAUGACCUGCAUGCCUAAUUUGCGUAUUAUAGUCUCAUGGUACAUAGACACACACACACACACACACACGCACGCACGCACAUCUACACACUCAUAAAAACACUUAUGAAUUUAUGUAUUAUAUGCGCAAGCAUAUAUUUGCACUGCAUAUAUUUUCACGUUGGUGAAAAUAUGCAAGUAAACCUGGAAGAUGAUCACACCUGAAAUGCCUUUGUCCCUUUAAUUAAACCUCUUAAAGUUUUGAAUUGGUGCCUGUCAAAAAUAUAUAACUAAUGAAGAGAACCAACGAGGGAGACUUUAUAUUUUCCUUUGCUCUGCUAACUUCAAAGAAAACUAUACCUCCACAUGUCUGCAAUAGCCAACUAAAGGAAAAUUCAUAUAUCAUAUUAUAAGUAAAUAUAUAUAUAUAUAUAUAUAUAUAUAUAUAUAUAUAUAUAUAUAUAUAUAUAUAUAUAUAUAGUUAGUUAAAGUUAAUCCAAACAAGAAAGCACAAAAAAGCACAACAACGCGAGGACGUGGAACAAAUAUGGUAUUAUUGGACGCUCAUAUAUAUAUAUAUAUAUAUAUAUAUAUAUAUAUAUAUAUAACAGAAAGAAAACAAAAAAAGUAUUUAUGAACUUGAUAAUAUCUAUGCACAAUUUAAGUAUAAUCAACACAUAAAGUGAUUAUUCCACUUCUAACUACAAGUACUCACUACCAGUGAUGAUAUGGAGCAGAAAUGCAUCACCCUUACAAUAACCAGAUUAAGGACUAGCAUGUGACCAUGACAUAUUGUAACCUAAUAAUCACAAACUAUACGACCUUAAGUAUUGCAUGACGUGGAAUCGCAAAGAGGAGUAUCUCUUAAAGUUAUGUAACUAAUUUCCGCACGUGAUCUAAGAAUGAAACGAGAAGGCCCAAAACUUAUCUCACACAGAAGUGCUUUAUACGUAUCAUUAUUCUGAACCGUAAAAUCUGAGUUGUCUCGUGCUCUGCUUCUAAGGAACUUGAAGUAAUGCCAAAAUAAGUUAAAUUUCUAACACCUAAACACACACACACACACAUACACACACACAUGCACGCACAAGUAUAUACAGACAUAUCGUUGUUGAUAUUAUUAUUGUUAUUAUUAUUAUUAUUAUUAUUAUUAUUAUUAUUAUUAUUAUUAUUAUUGAGUGAGAGAGCAUUUCAUGCCAUCAAAGUGACACUGGGGUAAAAUAUACGAAGCCCAAUAUACCCAUCAUGACUACCCAUCUGAUAAGGGCACACCAGGCACAUGCAUCACAACCAUAUGUGCGCGACAUGGUGAUCUCAUAUCAAGAUAAAUAGCUCAUGACCUUGCAGGUGGGGCCCAGUUAGAAUUUUCUUCAGGUUGAGUAGCCCAUCCCGCUCAAGCGGUCCCUGAAUAAGGGUUGUUUAAGGAUGUUGAAAGAACCACCCAUGUUUCCAGAGGUGAAUUAUUCAAACCCCAAAGAAUCCCUCUCAACACAUGGUUAUGAUGCUCCCCCACUACUUCUGCUCGUGAUCAGAGAUGCACAUAUCGUCAGCCACUAAGGGACAUGCUCAACUGGUUAAGGUCAAACAACUGACAAGCAAAUCUGUGGUAUUGAGCAGAAUAUUUGCUGUAGCCCAUAUUUUAUACCAAGACAAAACAAUGUACAUGAUAACACUUCCAAUCAGUUAAGAUCAGAAGCCAUGAGAGCCACUGCCUGGUACUGCAUCAGGGCAUUUAUUAUUAUUAUUAUUAUUAUUAUUAUUAUUAUUAUUAUUAUUAUUAUAAUCAUCUUCACCAUCAUCAUUAAUAGUAGUAGUAGUAUUAGUAGUAGUAUAAGUAGUAGUAGUAUUAACAGAAGUGCAGUGGCAGCAGCAGCAGCAGCAGCAAUAGCAGCAGCAGUAGCAGCAGCAGCAGUAGUAUUGGUAGUAGUAGUAGUAGUAGUAGUAGUAGUAGUAGUAGUAGUAGUAGUAACACUAUUGGCGUUACAUUUGUAAUUGUGUAAUAUAAAUUUUAAAUCUGUAAACUUCGAUUCUGAGACUUGAAAUAACUAUAGAAAUAUAAUUUAAAUCAAAUUUUUUUGAAGACAUAAAAAAGGGAAUUCUGAGUUGAUAGUCUUUCUUUAGCAAAGUACAGUAAACAACGUGUAGGCAUACAGUACUAGACCUGCUUAAAAUCCACUUUAAAAUGACCUGCAUGCCUAAUUUGCGUAUUAUAGUCUCAUGGUACAUAGACACACACAGACACACACACGCACGCACGCACAUCUACACACUCAUAAAAACACUUAUGAAUGUAUGUAUUAUAUGCACACGCAUAUAUUUGCACUGCAUAUAUUUUCACGUACGUGCAAAUAUGCAAGUAAACCUGGAAGAUGAUCACACCUGAAAUGCCUUUGUCCCUUUAAUUAAACCUCUUAAAGUUUUGAAUUGGUGCCUGUCAAAAAUAUAUAACUAAUGAAGAGAACCAACGAGGGAGACUUUAUAGUUUCCUUUGCUCUGCUAACUUCAAAGAAAACUAUACCUCCACAUGUCUGCAAUAGCCAACUAAAGGAAAAUUCAUAUAUCACAUUAUAAGUAUAUAUAUAUAUAUAUAUAUAUAUAUAUAUAUAUAUAUAUAUAUAUAUAUAUAUAUAUAUAUAUAGUUAGUUAAAGUUAAUCCAAACAAGAAAGCACAAAAAAGCACAACAACGCGAGGACGUGGAACAAAUAUGGUAUUAUUGGUCGCUCAUAUAUAUAUAUAUAUAUAUAUAUAUAUAUAUAUAUAUAUAUAUAUAUAUAUAUAUAACAGAAAGAAAACAAAAAAAGUAUUUAUGAACUUGAUAAUAUCUAUGCACAAUUUAAGUAUAAUCAACACAUAAAGUGAUUAUUCCACUUCUAACUACAAGUACUCGCUACCAGUGAUGAUAUGGAGCAGAAAUGCAUCACCCUUACAAUAACCAGAUUAAGAACUAGCAUGUGACCAUGACAUAUUGUUAUAUUGAUAAGUAGAGUGACACCUAAAGUAUACUAUCCACAUUAUUCGGAAUGCCAAUUAUUAAUUCCAUUUCUAAACGACAUCGCUAAGUAACCUAAUAAUCACAAACUAUACGACCUUAAGUAUUGCAUGACGUGGAAUCGCAACGAGGAGUAUCUCUUAAAGUUAUGUAACUAAUUUCCGCACGUGAUCUAAGAAUGAAACGAGAAGGCCCAAAACUUAUCUCACACAGAAGUGCUUUAUACGUAUCAUUAUUCUGAACCGUAAAAUCUGAGUUGUCUCGUGCUCUGCUUCUAAGGAACUUGAAGUAAUGCCAAAAUAAGUUAAAUUUCUAACACCUAAACACACACACACACACAUACACACACACAUGCACGCACAAGUAUAUACUGACAUAUCGUUGUUGAUAUUAGUAUUGUUAUUAUUAUUAUUAUUAUUAUUAUUAUUAUUAUUAUUAUUAUUAUAUUAUUAUUAUUAUUAUUAUUAUUGAGUGAGAGAGCAGUUCAUGCCAUCAAAGUGACACUGGGGUAAAAUAUACGAAGCCCAAUAUACCCAUCAUGACUACCCGUCUGAUAAGGGCACACCAGGCACAUGCAUCACAACCAUAUGUGCGCGACAUGGAGAUCUCAUAUCAAGAUAAAUAGCUCAUGAUCUUGCAGGUGGGGCCCAGUUAGAAUUUUCUUCAGGUUGAGUAGCCCAUCCCGCUCAAGCGGUCCCUGAAUAAGGGUUGUUUAAGGAUGUUGAAAGAACUACCCAUGUUUCCAGAGGUGAAUUAUUCAAACCCCAAAGAAUCCCUCUCAACACAUGGUUAUGAUGCUCCCCCACUACUUCUGCUCGUGAUCAGAGAUGCACAUAUCGUCAGCCACUAAGGGACAUGCUCAACUGGUUAAGGUCAAACAACUGACAAGCAAAUCUGUGGUAUUGAGCAGAAUAUUUGCUGUAGCCCAUCUUUUAUACCAAGACAAAACAAUGUACAUGAUAACACUUCCAAUCAGUUAAGAUCAGAAGCCAUGAGAGCCAUUGCCUGGUACUGUAUCAGGGCAUUUAUUAUUAUUAUUAUUAUUAUUAUUAUUAUUAUUAUUAUUAUUAUUAUUAUUAUUUUUAUUAUUAUUAUUAUUAUUAUUAUUAUUAUUAUCAUUAUUAUUAUUAUUAUUAUUAUUAUCAUUAUUAUUAUUAUUAUUAUUAUUAUUAUUAUUAUUGUUGUUGUUGUUUGAUGCAUACUCACAGCUUGUUUUGCUGGGUAAGAUGGAAAGUGCCAGCUGCCCACAGCAAGCAGACAAUAGUGACACACAUUUACUGGUUAUACUUCAAGAACCCUGAGAAGAAUUCUUGCAGUUCCUAACAAUGUUGGGUUUUUGUAGGUGUCGUACACUUUGCAUUUGUGCAAGUCUUUUAAACCAUGAUGGAAGUUGAGUGCUGAUACAUCCAAGUGCCGCAAUAACUACUGGUACCACGUUUACUUUCCCCAUUGACCGCAAAUUUCGUAUUUCUCACUUUAAGUCGUCAUAGUUGUUCAGUUUUUCUUUAUUCUCUUUGAUCCUGUUGACGCCGACAUAUGCUUUCUCGACUAUUAUGGAUAUUCUUUCAUUUUUUCCACCACCACAAUGUUCGGUUUCCGAUGUCUGAUCAGGUUAUGACAAUGAAUUAUUGUAUCUCACAGGAUUUAGCUAUUUUCAUUCUCCGUGACUUACAACGUCUUUCCUCCUUGUAGACCGUGAUUUCCACAAAGCUCCCAAUACAUUGUAUAUGUGUGUGCAUAUAAUAAUAAUAAUAAUAAUAAUAAUAAUAAUAAUAAUAAUAAUAAUAAUAAUAAUAAUGAUGACAGCAGAUGACAACUUUUCUCUAAAAGAAAUGGAGAAAAUUUCAAAACACAAAGACCUGGAAAUAGAGGUAACUCGAAUGUGGAAUCUAAAAACAGAAACAAUUCCUAUCAUAGUAGGAUCAUUAGGUACGAUAAGAAAUAUUCAGACAAUUACAUAACAAAAACACCAGGACUUACAAAUAUAUAUAACAUACAGAAAAUUGCACUACUGGGCACCGCACACAUCCUACGCAAAACACACUCAAUACAGUAACCAUGAGAGCAUCACAACAAACCACAGCACAUACCCAAGACACACAGAGCUGCGCUCGGUAGUGAAGUGAAAGCACGUUAUAAAAAUAAAACUACUGAAUAAUAAUGAUAACAAACUGGAACGUUAAGCGGGAUGGACUACUGAACUCGAAAUUCUAACUAGGACCCACAGGAAGAUCACGCGUGAGAUGACAUUAUCGCGCACACAUGGUUGUGAUGCAUGUGCAGUGUACCUUUACUAGAUGGCUUGUCAUGAUGGGUAUAUCGGGCGUAGUAUAUUUUAGCCCAGUGUCUAUUUGAUGGUAUGUGCUUCUCUCUCACUCAAUAAUAAUAAUAAUAAUGAAUGCAGUACCCAGCUUGAUGACAAUUGUGAAAGGUAUUGUUAUGUGCUAAGGACCCCGAAAAAGGACAUGUUUCGUCCAACUUUAGACCAAUAGCAUGCCUUCCUCUAAUGUGGGAACUAAUGUCAGGUGCUUUGGCCGAUGAACUGCACAGAUAGUAGUUAAUAAAUGGCCUACUGCCCAUUGAACAGAAAGGGUGCCGAAAAGGGAGGCAGGAAAUGAAGGAUCAGCUCUUAAAUGGAACAGGGAAAAGAUAAAAUAUUGGUAUAGGUGUGGCAAUGUAGUAAGUAGCUUGCUUAAGAACCACAUGUCCGGGUUCAGUCCCAGUGCGUGGCACCUUGGGCAAGUGUCUUCUACUACAGCCUCGGGCCGACCAAAGCCUUGUGAGUGUAAUUGGUAGACGAAACUGAAAUAAGCCCGUCGUAUGUAUGUGUGUGAGUGUGUGUAUGAUUGUGCGUCUGUGUUUGUCCCCCCAACAUCGUUUGAAAACCAACGCUGGUGUGUUCACGCCCCCGUAACAUAGCAGUGCGGCAAAACAACCGAUAGAAUGAGUCCUGGGGUCGAUUUGUUCACUCGACUAAAGGCGGUGCUCCAGCAUGGCUACAGUCAACUGACUGAAGCAAGUAAAAGAGUAAAUGAGUAUAUAAAAGAGUAAAUGAGUAUAUAAAGAGAGAGAUAGUAUAUAUAUAUAUAUAUAUAUUUAUAUAUGUUUGUGAUUUGUGUGUGUAUGUGUGUGCGUGUAUAAGCCUUUAAAAUCCAUUUCGCCUAACUACAUCAUUCCAGCCAUCGCCCAAUACCAUCGCUUGUGCACUACCAUUAUAUACAUCUCACCGCUACUACAACCAAGCCUAUCACCACCAUUAUUAGGAAUUUCAGUCAGUUUGUCAUCAUCAUCAUUAAUAUCGUCGCUAUUUUAGCCAUGUCAUUGUUAUAUUCAUCUUUCAUAUUUUCAUCAUUAUGAUAUAUUUAUAUAGCAUUGUAACUAAGGACAUAGUUUAGGUUACCGCUUCAUGUAACAAUUCAAUUAUAUUUCCAGUAUGUUUGAGAUAAGUCUAAGCGUCACAACAUCUUGUUUCCACCUUCGGAGAAAUUUCCAAUGCAGUGAAAUUAAUUAUACAAAACUAUUUCCAUACAAUGAAACACAGAUAGAAAUAUCUUCUAAGCAUCUCCACAUAAAAGCGAACAGAUGUGACAUAUUGAAAUUCUUAGAAUUAUUGUUUGUAUUAGUAUCAAGAACGGUUGGUAUAUUUGUAGCUUUCUUGCAUAUAUUUGAUAUAAUUGUCGCUUUGAUCUUAUAUUUAAUGUUUUUAUAACUUUCGUUACAAUCCGCUUCUUGGAAACUUUGUAUGCUUUGUAUAAAACUGAAUAUACAUUAAGUUCAAUCGAAUUGAGAAUACCGUUUGUGGGCAUAUAAACUAAAAGUUGAAUGCUUAGAUUUUAUUAAGUGUCUGCUACCUAUUUUUGUAACUGUAUAAGUAUCAUUUACAUUACUUGGUUCUUUUGACACGAUUAAAUGUUAUUUCCAUCACGUAUAUUGUCCAAAAGUAAUGCAUAUGCAGCAGUAUGCAUGUGCAUAUUUUCUAUUUGAGAUACAUUUAGAUACCAUAUAUUUAAAAUAACACUUAAAGCGCAGUUUCUUUUAAUGCGUUUAACAAAUCAGCGCAAUAUUAAAGUUUCAUAUAUCAUAAAAUUAUACAAGCAUACUUUUUAAUAUUAAAAUCUCUGACUUAUUCUAUUUGUUAAUAAUAAUAAGAAGAAAAGUUUCCCACAUAACAUGAACACUUUGAAUUAUAUUGUCGUAGAUGCACGUUCCUGAUAAACCAGAUAAGAUGAUUAUGGGUACAAUGGCAAUGCCGUUGAUUCUAGCCCUGCAUAGUGGAUAAUGACUCAGUGAUUACACAUCAUUAAAAGAAGUUACUUUUCGAUUCUACACGACUAUGAAAGAUUGUUAGCCUACACGUGUAACAGACUUCCAUCACCAUAUGUGCUUUAGGUAUGAUACACAGCUAUUUUGAAGAAAUACUCUUUCAGUCGGUGAUAAUAAACUGUUGUUCAGUCUGCCGGCUGAAUGCGGUGUCAUUGAUUAUUUAUUCACAGCUAAACUAUAGCAGUGGGGGGGGGGAGCCCAAUUUUGUUUGCAUGCCGUGCUACUGGCAAACCUCAACGAAGCAUAGUUACAUAUUCCUUAAUGACACCAACGUUUCUGUAUUAUUUUCAAAUGCUGAUGAUAAAAUUGUUAUUUUCUUUGAACACGAUGGGACGAUAUUAGAAGACUUUGUCCAGACGAAUACCUUAGUUUAGCAGGCUUUCCACAAGGCAUCUGUUUUGGUGCCAUAAACAGAUAUAUAUAUAUAUAUAUAUAUAUAUUAUCUGUUUAUGAUACUCAAAACAGAUGCGUUGUCGUAAACUUAUUGGUUUAGUGUAUUUGUCUAGUAUAUAUAUAUAUAUAUAUAUAUAUAUAUAUAUAUAUCAGGGACGCCAUGAUAGAUCGUUAGCUACGACACGCAUUUUUUCUCUCUUUGUUUCUCUCCUAGUUUUUUUUCUGUGUAUUUUUCUGUCGAAGAGCGUAGGCUCGAAACGUAAAAGACUAUUUCUAUUCCUGAUAGCUAUACUAAUACAUUUGUUUGUUUGAACACCACCUGCCUACGUCUUUUGUUUAUUUUCGUAAAUUUUCCCUUUAUAUAUAUAUAUAUAUAUAUAUAUAUAUAUAUAUAUUGUGUGUGUGUAUGUAUAUAUAUAUGUAUGUAUGUAUAUAUAUGUAUAUAUAUAUAUAUAUAUAUAUAUAUAUAUAUAUAUAUAUAUAUAUAUAUAUACAUAUAUGUAAAUGCAUAUGCCUAUAUACAUACACAUGGUUUUGAAAUCAGCUGUAGUUUCAGUUUCAUACAUCUAUAUGUGCUUAAAUCAUCAUACCUGAUCUUGUGACACCGCAUGUAAAUUACGGGGUUGUUUUACUUAUCUCAGAAACCGACAGGCCUCUCGGAGAGAUUUUCACUAUAACCAAAUUAUAAUUGAAAUUCAACAACGCAAAUUAACGUAUACAUUACCAGCUUGAGAAUGCUGUUACAGCUGCAGUUGUUGGACAAUUGUAAUUUAUUAUAGGAACUUGUCAUUUAUGUAGUAAGAACUACUAAAUGUAGGUGUGGAGAUCAUGCGAAAAUGGCAUCAUUUUUGCAUUUGAAUACAAAUUCAUAAAUUUCUGUCUCUCUCUCCCGCGCCUCUCUCUCUCUCUCUUCUUCGUCUUCUUUUUCUUCUUGAUGGCAACCUGUUUAUGCAUACACACAUGCAGACACACAUAUAUAGCUCAUAUAUAUAUAAUUUUGUUAUCUUUAAUGCAAUAAAUAUUUCAUUCUACAUACACCUUUCUAUUCUUAUAUACAGUAAUUUACCUGUCUGUUUAUCGAUAUACUUAUCAAUCUCUGUCUAUUUAUCCAUCUCCGUCUCCCUCUAUCUCACUCUGUAUAUAUAUAUAUAUAUAUAUAUAUAUAUAUGUAUAUAUAUAUGUAUGCAUGUAUAUAUAUAUAUAUAUAUAUAUAUAUAUAUUUAUAUAUAUAGGUAGAUAGAUAGAUAGAUAGAUAGAUAGAUAGAUAGAUAGAUAGAUAGAUAGAUAGAUAGAUAGAUAGAUAGAUAGAUAGAUAGAUGGGGGAAAGUAAGAAUAAACAUAAGUGAAAAUGCACAUUGGAAAUCAAAAAUAUAAAGGGAUUUUAUGAAAAGUAAUGAAAGAUAUAUACAAUUAGAUGAAGUGAGGUAGGAAUAAAAGUAAUAAAUGCCAUUAUUGUGAAUUGUUAAAUAUAUUUAUAAGCAUACCGGUUUCGUAAACUUAUUAACUUUGCUUUGAAUCUACACCGAUUACUGAACGGUGUCAGGUCUACUAGUCCCUGAGUAAAACGAUUAUGAGUAAAAGUAGUUCUGGAUGUACUGCAAUUAGAGUAGAUACAGAUCUGUAAUGUGAAUGGUAUAUGGGAUGUAUGGGGGUUAGUGUAUUAAUUGAAAGGUUAGUAGUGUCCUGUAAUAUGCUAUGUGUUCAUAUUGAGUUGUGGAAGAUUUUUAUUGAUGAAAGUUGCCACUUGAUUUAUUCUUUGUUGUACUGAUGUGUCCAGUUAACAGUGAUAGAAGGGGAAAAUUAGGAUUAAUAUUCCUAGCGCAUUUUUCGAUCUCUUCACUGAUCUGUAUCUGUCUGUAUUGUGAGUGGCGGGAUUGUUCUUUGUCGUGAGUGGUUCUUCGACAGACUGAUAUCCCUGUCUGGCCAAUAUAAUUAACACACCCUAAACAUAUAAUGGCAUAGAUUAGAUUUCCCGUGGCACAGGUGAAAUUUGAUUUAAUCUUAAAUAUUUCACCUUGUAUAAAAAAGAACUCUGAACCCUCCAAAAGGUGGGGGCUUGUACCACAGUUAGGUCGACCACAUUUCUGGCUGUCUACAAGAAAUGCUUCGCCUCAUCAGUGGAAUACACACAAAACAGUAGACAAAUACAAAUAUACAUGCAUAUAUAUUACCGGUAUUUCGUCUCUCUGUACGUUCUGAGUUCAAAUUCCACCGAGGUCGACGUUGCUUUCACCUUUUCGAGGUCGAAAAAUUAAGCACCGGUUGCGUAAUGGCGUCGAUCUAAUCGACUUGACACCCCCACGUAAAAGAAAAUUCGGGUUGUGUGCCUAAAGAAGAAAAAUUACUAUGUACAAAAUAUGUAAUAUUUCACGGUACGUAAGACAACUAAUAGAACAAGUGCAGCGUUUAUUUUAGUAUCAUUGUUGUAAUAGCGUGCAAAAUUCAGUUGUUGAAGAUUUUAGAAUAAACUAGCAGUAUCGCCCGGCGUUAUUCGGGUUUGUAAGGGAAAUAACUAUAUAAGCCUUUUUAGAGAGUUAUAGCCAAAAAAUAGCAAACAGAUGCAUUAAAAAUGGAAAAAAAUGAUUGUAAUUUUUUUUUUAAAUCGUUGACUCAUCGUAGACAUUUUUAUAAUAGAGUUACUUCCCUUAUAUAAUAGCGAAAAAAGGCAUUAAAAUGGAAAAAAAAUUAUGGUAAUUUCUUUUUUAAAUCGUAGACUCGUCGUAGACGCGCGCUAAUACCCAGAAGGGCUCGAUAUGAAUCACGAUUAUAAGAUACCCGGUUUUGGUUAAACUGCACCGCAAAAUGUGGGAGUAGUUAGGAAUCUAAAUCGUAAGAGACAGACACACAACCUCUCUUUUAUAUAUAAAGAUAUGCACACACGCAUAGUCACAACAUAGAGAAACACUGGCUUAAAUGGGUGAACGAUUAAUUUUCCCACCCAACGAUGGCACAUUACAGCUAUUCGAGUAUAUCUGUAUGAAAAUCUGUGGAGGGCAAGAGUAAACCCGCAAAUGUUAAUGCUGUAGUAAUGAAUCAUAUAACAGUUUUUUGUAUUAAAUGAGAAACCUGGAGACUUGCGGCUUCUACCUGUUAUAGCAGAGUGAAGGAGGAUUGUCUUGUUAUAAACUCUGUUGGAAUAAUGAACCAGCUCAGAUACUGAAUCAUUUUAUUUGGGAAGCAUUUUGAUUUCAGAAACAGAAAGAUCAACAAUAUAUCUCUUAAUGGAUCCGAAACACAUGUUCAAACUUCAUCAAGCAGCAAAUACUUUUCUACUCUAUUGUAUAUGCAAGUUUUUCUAAGAUUCCCAGAAUUGAUAAUAAAAAUAUAAAUUCUGAAUUCCUAAUGCUCACAAAAAUGUCAAGAUCACAAAAUAUGCUCUUCAGCACUUCCGAGAAGAAUGGCCUGAAUCAAGUGAGAACGAAAUAGAAAGGAGUGGGGAAAAUGUCAAAAAAAAAAAAAAAACACGCUCAAGAGAGGAAAAGAUGGCUGAGCCAUUCAUUCAAGUAGGCUGUCAUUCCUUGAUGCAGGUUUCAGAUCAUAUCCCCAUCCUACAGCUAUUCUCAGUUGAGAAUCCAUAUCCCAAAGGGAUAUAUCAAUUGUAAAGCGUUCAUUAUUUAAACACUUUAAUUCGGAAAGAGCAUACUUUUGCUUUUUAUUUGAUUUCUUUCCGUAGGAUAGGAAUAGCUUAGCAUAUUCUACCCACUGCAUGAAAGAUAUUUCACCUUUAGCGAAUAUUCAAUUUAGAUUUUACUUUGUUUUAUUCUAAUGUAUAUUUCAUUUGCACAUUGAUUAUUUUUCCUAUUUCCCUAACUUAGUGCCUAUUUACCUAUAUAUGUUUGUGAGCAUUCCUUUCUCAUUCCUCUUUCACAAGCACUUAGAAAUGUCCCUACCCACAAGCAAAACACGCUCACACAUACGCACACAUACACAUAUAUAUACCCACGUAUUCACAAUACGUUCAUACAUAUAUGUGUAUUUAUUCAUAUAAAAACACACACACUCCUAAAUAUAUUUAUGUAUGUAUGUAUAUAUAUGUAUGUAUAUAUGUAUGUAUGUAUAUAUGUAUAUAUAUAUAUAUAUAUAUAUAUAUGUGUGUGUGUAUGUAUGUAUAUACAUGCAUACACACACAGAGAUAUAUAUAUAUAUAUAUAUAUAUAUAUAUAUAUAUAUAUAUAUAUAUAUACUAUAUAUAUAUAUAUAUAUCAUACAUAUAUAUAUAUAUAUAUAUAUAUAUAUACACUAUUCUCUUCCCAUUUCUUAUUUCCCGCUUUCAAUAUUUCUAUGUAUGUCUUCAUUUCUUGAAACAGUUCCCUAAAUACUUUACUUUUUAUAAAAUAAAUACUAUAUAUUUUUUUGUAGUGUUUUUAAAGAUAAAUUCUUUACGAUUUUGUACAUUAUCUUUCCACUCUCCUGCUCAAUCUAAUUCUUGUAUCGUUUAUUGAUUAAUAUCUGAUGCCUUUAUAAGCAAUAUAUAUAUGAACAUUCAAAAAUAUUUCUCGCAGUAAACUGAUUAAGCCUCACCUGAGAUUUCAUGACAAAACAUUACUUCACACGCUUUGUUUAUUUAUUUUUUGCUUCUUUUUCCCUUUCUUUGCCUGUUAUUCUUCUCUUAAUUUAAUGUGUAAAAGAAAGAAAGCAAUAUAAAAGGUAUUAAUCGAAUAUGCCAUGUAUUUCUUAUACCCGAGCAUCGUUGAAAACAUUCCUCUGUGCGAUUUUUCUUCCUGUCACACAGAUUCUGGGCACUCUGUUAUGAAAAUACUAUAUUUUUAAUACUUCCUUUUCAUAUAAUUUUGAUUCAGUUUUAUUUCUUUUAAACAAGAUAAAUAUAGAUAUGAUCUAUAGCAAAAAUGUGUAACUGCUAUUUUAACUUUCUCAGCCAUUCGUUGCUCAGCUGAGGAAAGAAUUAAUGUGCUUGGGUUUCCUUCAUGCUUUACGUUACCGUAAAUAUUCUUUUAUUAUUUAAAUUGAGAAUUUUAAAAUCUCAUAAAAAGAAACUUACUUUCAUGCCAUAAACAUCGCUUUCACGGAUGAGUUUUAAAAUACAGUAGGUUGGAAUAUGAAUCGUUUUAAACGUACGCACGUUCAGAAAGGCAGCUUAUGUUUGGGCUCCCAAAUGAUGAGUCAAUGAAUUCGUUGACAGCGAAGGAAAAUUUCUGCAUUUCUUCUUCUUUCUUAUUUAACGCACGCACACACACACACACACACACACACACACACACACACACACACACACACAUGCAAACCACUCAUAUUAAUGGAUUAUCCGGUCGAUCCCGACGAAUGGAUAAGUAAGAACACUUAUUUUCUAAGUUCCCUUGUUUACGUCUCUUAUGGCACUCUAAACCAGACAACGAUUUACAAAGAAGAAAACAAGCUGGACAACAAAGAGGAUACUGAUACAGAGCGGCUGGUUUGUUAAUUUGCUUUUGUCUUAGAUUUGAAGAUGAUUCGGAAGUCCAAAUGCAUAGUGCUUUAUGGCUUUGUAGCAUCUUAGCCUCUCAAGUUACAAUUCAAUACGGAUUUCUUUAAAUGUUUCUGCUGAUAUCGUUAACACUUCAAUUUACGUUUGAGCAUAUCUUUGUACAUUGGGCAUUGUAUAUUUCAGCUUCCCAAUCGUUGUUCUUUCUCUUGGACUUCCGUUGACGCUCAGUUCGACCAUAUGAUGAAUCCUUAUUAAGACUGCAACAAGAAGGAUACAAUAGUAACAAUCUUAUAUUUAGAGAAUUGAUCAAUAUUCGAAAUGCUGUCAUUCAGGCUUAUAUAUAUAUAUAUAUGAAUGUUCAAUUUAUAGGAAAGAUCAAGACCCAGAUGAACAAUUACAAGGUACCCAAAUGUCACAUAAGCGUCCUAGGAAUUACUGAGCACAUUUGCAUGGGAGUUAAUUCCCGAGAGAAGUGAGACGAGGUUUGGAGAACAGAAGAAUAAUUGAAAAUAGAGACAAAAGCUUAAGGCUUUACUGAAAUUAUUUAUAUCACCGUAAAUGAUCUAAGUAGCAGAUUGAACGUUUGUCUCCAUUGAUAUAUAUAUAUAUAUAUAUAUAUAUAUAUAUAUAUAUAUAUAUAUAUAUAUAUAUAUAUAUAUAUAUAUAUAUAUAUAUAUAUAUAGGCAGGGACAGACAGAGAGAGAAAGUGAGAGAAUGUACGGAUCUAGCCAAUCUUAAAGCAGACCUCCUUGAUUUGGUAACUAAUAUAAUAUUCCUUUAUGUACUAUAACAAUUUUCAAGCGUAAGUGAAAUUUGACGUUAUAAAUUUUAAAGGCUCUCAAUACUAAUUCGUAUUCUCUAAUGAAACUAAAAAUAUGUAUAAAGUCAGUAAUAAUUUAUAUGAUCAAAUUUUGCACGACACCAGUUCUGCUAAAUGUAACGAAGCUGACAUAGGUAUAUAUGCAAUAAUAUUAAAAAUUAGGUUAGAUUCAUCGCUAAACGAAGUUAAAUUGCUGAUACGUCAGUAUAGUUCAGAAUUACAGAUACUACUGCAACACUGGGUAAUUAGCUACAUUGUCGUACUUUGGUUUGUUAAUUUAAAAGAUAAACAUAAGAGCCAGAUUUACAUAGUUGACCGUGACGAUGGUUUGGACAUAUACUACGACUGUGAUAUACACACAGUAGAUAUAUUUAGGAUUAUUUAGACCUCAAAAUUACCAUAUCCUCUAAGUUUUUCUAAAAUUAAAUUCAUAGAUGUUUUCAUACAGCUUUCAUGAUGUUUUUGACCGACAGGAUGAAAGCGUAUUAACCAGUUGAACCAAGCACUGCAUUGAAGUAAAUAUGUGUAGGGCAAGGGGAUGGUGUUGAAAAAUAGGCUUUAUUUGGUCACAUUCCUCGAGAGUGUCUAAGAAAGCCUAUAAACCUUUCAGCCGCCCUUCAUUUAUGACGUAGAGGAAUUAAUAUUUGAAUAUUGAAACAAGAUUUUAUUCAGUAUUACACAACUUUAGUGGAACGGCGGAACGUCAUUGUUACCAAUUAUCUUAAAGAGAAUAUCAUUCAAAGAAAGGUUCGAAAUCACGUUGGAUUCAAUAAAAGUACGAAUAUUGAACUUGUAACGGGUAACAUUCUCUGAAAUGUUUUUUUUUAUUAUGCUGUGAAAGUUAUUGCAGUAUUCAUAAACACCAAAUUCAUACUUUCAUUUUUUCCUUUAAAAAUUCUUCCUUAAGUAUGGGUCUUUACAAACAUGUGAUAUCCCGUAUAUUUCAACACCCGAUCAAAAUUUAUAAUUAAAUUUAAGUAGUAUUUCCUUGUUAAAAUAUGUAUGUGGAUCUAUAUUUAGCCCUUCUCUAUUCCGUGUACACACAGCCUCUGUAUUGGCCUUACCUCAUACAAACACAACUAUCCAUUUCCAUAAUUAAUGCGAAAAUUGAAACCAGCAGUAAUUAUUGUGAUAUAUGCCACAAAAUAUAUUAUAGUUGAAAUGUAUCCAUAUAUAUAUUGUACUCCUGCAUGUAGUCUCCUUCCGUUUAUCAAAACUGAUAUGCAGAUGAAUCUUAUAUAUGCCCAAGUACUAAUAAUCUAGCAAUGUUUAACAAUUGUGUAUUAGGAAACUAUUAUAAUUUUUUAUCGAAAAAGACAAACAACCUGCAUUAAGCUGGUACAAUGAUGACAGUGUAGUGUUAAGAAAUGUAAUCACGUAGUAAUGCACACAAACUUCAGGAAAUUACUUGUGGUAGCAAAAUUACGUAGAGAACGGUAGCCUUUCUGGUGCCCUGUGAGAUUUCCGAAAAAUGAAUAGCUUAAAGCGCAUAAAGUAAGAACUGAAUCCGUGCCAGAUUUAACUCAAUUUCUUGCAAAUAUAAAUGAAUCAUGUUAUUGAAAAAUAAUCAUAAAUUGCUCUGGAAAUAAUCUCCAAUCUAUAAAAAAAAAAAGAUUACCUUAACCGAACUAUGAUUUCUAGAGAGUGGACAUGAUCAGAUAUGCAAGACGUUGAUCUUCUGUUAUUGACAAUGUAUUUUGAUCAGAAUAACAAAAGUAAAAUAGAAUGGGAAACUGGUUCAAACAUUUUCAAAAUAUUAUUAUUUAUCGUAAUUCAGUUUACACUUGGAAAUUACAUUCUAUAAACAUACUUGUGGAAAAUUAUAAUCACCAAAAACGUCACUUUUAUAAUAAUCUAAUAAAAAAGAACUUAGGCUACUAGCUACCAGGUAGGUCGUGUGAAAUUUGCUUGGAAAUUUGCUUAUGUAUUAUUUGUGACUUGACGAGCUAAACAGAUGUCACGAAAUAAAAUGAAGGUUCAGUCUCACUUGCAACAUCGGUUAGGUAAGCUUCAGUACACCAUCAAUUGGAGGUGAUGUGUAAUAAACUCAUUAUGCAAAGGCCAUUAAAUAGUAAUUCCCAACAGUAAUUAUUGUAUGAUAAACAGAAAUAAAAGCAAAACAUUGCGAUAAUUAAUUCACAGCCUAUCAAAUAUUUCUGAAUUGGGCCUCGUACACAUCUGUUUAUUAUUUUCCGUUUGUUUUUCAGUCAAAUAUUCUAUUAUGCAAAAAUUCCCCGCAAUUUGCAUAGAGUUAAAUUUCAAGCAAACAGAUGCAGGGCGCAAAAGUGUAGAACAGAAAAAGAAAAGCGAAGUUAUCAUGCUUACACAUGAAUAAUCAGCGCUGAUCUGAAAAUUAGUCAAAACCACAGAGGGACAUCGCUCCAGUAAUUACAUACACACAAUUUGCACAUCAAGUUUUUUUUUUUUUUUAUUAACACAUGCACAUGCACACUCACAAAUAAAACCACAUACAUACAGGUAGUUAAUGUUUCUUCUUUCGAGAUACUUUACCAGUUGCAGUUGGAGAUAGAAAAAAUAUUCAAUGAAAAUACUUUCCAAACCUUGGAUGUAUUUGACUUGUUAAUUCUUAUUCACAAGUAUAUCUGGUUUAACCUUUCAAGGACGAUUGAUUAAGACAGAGUAAACCAACAAAACUUCACAUGAAUACUUUUCUCGCUUUGGCUGACAACGGGGAAUGUACCUUAGUGUAAACUUCGCACAUGAUUACGUAUUUUUUUCUUUCUUUUACUUAUUUCAGUCAUUUCGACUGCGGCCAUGCUGGAGCACCGCCUUUAGUCGAGCAAAUCAACCCCGGGACUUAUUCUUUGUAAGCCCGUACUUAUUCUAUCGGUCUCUUUUGCCGAACCGCUAAGUGACGGGGACGUAAACACACCAGCAUCGGUUGUCAAGCAAUGCUAGGGGGACAAACACAGACAUACAAACACACACAUACAUAUAUAUAUAUAUAUAUAUAUAUAUAUAUAUAUAUAUAUAUAUAUACAUAUAUACGACAGGCUUCUUUCAGUUUCCGUCUACCAAAUCCACUCACAAGGCAUUGGUCGGCCCGGGGCUGUAGCGGAAUACACCUGCCCAAGGUGCCACGCAGUGGGACUGAACCCGGAACCAUGUGGUUGGUUGGCAAGCUACUUACCACACAGCCACUCCUGCGCCUAUAUUUCAAUCCUAUCCAAAUGUCUUCUUCACAUUCAAUGAUAAUAGAACAGAAGAAUCAUGCUAAUUUUGGUCAAUAAAAACCGUUGAUUCAUAGCCAUAUUCAUCUUGUGAUGAUUUUUUUUGUGUGUGAAUGAAAGCAUGAGCAAAUUGUUGUAAGGGCCUGCAUCUAUAAAAUUAACACCCAGGUAUUUCAAGAUUUAAUUCUUAAUUAUAAAUUAUAUUCACAAUUUAAUUAGGGAUAUUUACCUUUACUUAUUUAAUUGGCCACUAGGCAGACUGAUUUAUAGAUUGUUUGGCGAAUUAGCUGUCUGUUAGGAUAGUCGGCUCACUGACAAGGUGCACAGGAUGGCAGAGCAGCAGUCUUUAAUUUAGGCCACUUACCCUAGUUAUUACCUCCCCUUAACCAUAAAUAUUCCCCUAAUCUUCCUACGAAAUAAAUUCCUUUCAUUGUUACUAAUUUCACCUUACUCUUAAAAAAACACAUUUUCACCACCAACAGUCUUACUUCCUAAAUGUCCGAAUACGUUUCGCUUUUAAUACUUUUCCAUAAUAUCUAUUUUUCAAUCUAGUAUAUACUGUCCUAAGCCAUGAGGACCCCUUACAAAAUACACCAUUUCCCCAUUCAUUUAUUUACUAAUCGUCCCUCGCAUAACCGUCUCAAUAGCUGGUCUUUGUUUUAAAAUUUCAAUUGACCAGUUAUAUCGAAGGUUGGUCCUUGGCCUAUCUAACUUCGGACAGCUGGUGGAAGGGCAUAACCACCUCUAGUAAAUAAAUAAGAAAAUUAAAUUUAAUUGAUUAGCUCUGUAUUAUGAUAAAUACUAUUAAUUAGUACUAUAAACAUAAUUAUUAUAAAUUAUGAUUAAUCUAAAGCGUUAUUAUAUCUUCACUCCUUCCCCGAAUGAUACUUAUUGGCGUGUCCCACUACUAGUGUUUUUAUUUUUUUAUUUAUCCAUCCUACCCCACCCCGUACGAAGGAUUCAUCCACCAAAUACUAUUUUCAGUGUAGUCACUUAUUUAACGUCUCAAAGAGAUACACAAGCAAAAUGGUAUGAUUACAAGCAUAUUUAAUUCUUCCUUUUUCUUCUGUAAGCUCUACCUUUUUAUUUAUUCUUCACUCUGAUGAAGCUCCAUGUUCCAGAUCAGUAAUAUUACCUUAUAUGAUAAAUGUUUUUAGCAUAUCAAUGGCAAUACCAUACAACAUUGGAAGCAGAAACAGUUGUUUGAUGGGGUGCAGUCUAUUUGUAUUGAAUUAAUAAAUAAUAAUUGAUGUAAGUCAAUUUUUGUUCAUCAAUAUUUCUCCAUUUUCUGUUUCCUUUAUACAUGCAUAUAUAUAUAUAUAUAUAUAUAUAUAUACACACAUAUAUGUUAUACAUUCAGAAUGGAUAUUAUAUGAAGAUGGAUUUCUAUGUAGCAUGAAUAAUAACGCAUUACUAAAAGCGAUUUAUUGAGGACAGAUAUGACAGAAAUGGAAAUCUGCUUUAUACACGUAGAGACAUCACAAAAUAUAAUGUUAAUGAAAUCAAAACAAGUAUCCGUUUUAAAGUAUGCUUUGAAAAUCGUAUAUUUAUACAGGCCCACACUCAUGAAUUGAUAUUUAAUAGCGUAACAUUCGUUUACUCGCAGACAAGUUAGUUGAAGUCAGUUACAGAGAAAACGAAACGGUAAUAAUCUCUUUAGCUGGUUUAACUUCACGUCCGUAUUAAGUAGUUUUACGUAAAGAUCAAUGUUUUCACAAAGAAUUGUUAGUUAUGCAACGUACUCAACACGCGCACAAACACACACACCCAACCACACAGGCGCAUACAUUCAUAUGUAUACUUGAACGUAUAUAUUUAUUUCUGGUAUACAUUGAUGAUAUAUUUAUAUUGAUUAUGCAGAAUUAAUUUCCUUAGAAAUAUGAGAAUUAUAUUUGUUCCCUCCCUCCACCGAUUCUAAAUAUUGCAUAAUAAUACGUUUAUUCUUCAUAUUUUCAUUCAGUGUUUGUUUUUAUUUUUAAACAUUAAAUGCAAUAAGAUAUAAUUGGAAGAGUUUAGAUUGGGAAAUUGCUUCGCGAGAUCGAAUACUCUAAGAUAAUAUAUUGGCUUUAAAAAUCAAUAACACGCUAAAUUUCUUCGAAUAUCAUACAAAUAAAUAUAUAUCUACGUUCUCUAUCCAAACAUCUUUCGAAUUGCACUUUGAAUUAGAAAAGAAACAUAUUGAUAUUAUCUAUCUGAGACAUAUCGAAACCUUCAGUAUAAUUCCAUCAAACAUUAUUUGAAAGCGGAACUGAAGUCAAAUAAAUAUAUUUUAUGACCAAUGUAAUGGUUAUUGAAUCAGUAAACGCUGACGAAUAAUAGUUGGCAUUUAAACUUCCACAGCCAACUUUUUUUUAUCUCAUACUACAAACAGUAGAAGAAAAGUUACAUAUGUCACAUUUGGAAAAUAUGUGAAAAUGCAAUAAAUUAUUGAAAUGAGGGUAUUAUUAUAUGGAUUUCUAGAUUAAAAAGUUAGAUGCAUGCACAGAAUUAAAAUAUAAAUGAUUCAAUAAGUUAAGUAUUAACAUCAGAUUGAGAUUCUUUAUUUAAAAAAUAUAUAUAUAUAUAUAUAUAUAUAUAUAUAUAUAUAUAUAUAUAUAUAUUCAGUAAUUCCAAAAAGUGCUUUGCCAGAUUAUUUCAUGGUUUCGUCUCUUAUUCUAUUUUUUCGUGAUACAAUGUAGCUUAACUAUAUGCAAUUGUAGAUGAAGGAAAAUGAAGGAAAAUGUUUCGAUUUUAUCACGUAGGAGAAAUCAUGAGCUACCAUAUAGCAGGAAUAAUGAGGUAUUUUGAUAUUUAGAGCACGAUAUGAAUUUUGAGAUAAACGAAAUGAAACUGUUAAAAGUAUAUGUUAUCUAUUUAAAUCUGAGGGCAUUGUUAUAGUACGAUUGAACGGAUAACGUAAUAAUUUUAAUGGACAGAUAUGAUAAGGUUACGACUCCAAAUCUAUUCACCAAAAUGAAUUCUGGAUAAAAUUUAACGGAAUUUAUAACGCUAUUUUCUUUUAAAAAAAUCUAAAAUAAGAAAAAAUGAAAUUUCAUGAUAAUGAUCUUUAAACAAAGAUAUAAAUAAAAAUUAUAACAUGCAUAAUGAUAGUAAGGAGAGUAAGGACAGAAUUAUUGCAACUGGUCAAAACCUUGAGCUUCUUAUCAUACAGUCCCUCUAACCUAUGUAAAUUCUUAUUAACCGACAAUACAUGAAAUAAUAUGAAGACGCACAUUUAGUGUGCAAAUCUACCAAUAUUCCCUUAUCAUUGUCAGAAUUACAAGGACCGAUUAUUUUAAUAUCUAUAUGAAUGACUAUUCCACUCUUAUGUAGAAAAAUCUCUUUUUAGAAGCAUUAAUAUCCCCCUUGGUACUCGACUUUUCUAUGCACUCAACCAAUAAUUCAUUUUAUUUUUUUAAGGCAUUGGACAUUGGUUUACAUAUGAACUUCGUAGAAUAUAUGCAAUGAAUUGUUAUGAAACGUAACCUAUAAGAAACUAAUAUCACUAUCUUGAUGAAAUGCCGUUAGAUUAUGAUCGAACUAGGACAAUAGUAUAUAUUAUGAUAUAAUCUUGAUACAUAUAGGGUUUCACUCCAUGUUGCUUUGUUAUGAUAAUGCAAUAUUCCAAUAGUUAUAUUCCAUAAGAAACAAAUAUGAAAGAAAAGAAAUCUUCAUAGGUGUAUGACAUAAUUAUCAUUUGCUCCUUAGAUUAAAAACAAAUAGAGAGAAAUCCGCGCAAGUAGGUUUGAAUCGAUGGAACUUGAAAUUAUUACAUAGUUUUUCUCGAAGUUUGAUCAAUGAGAGACAAAUUUGGUGGAUAACACGAUCCAAGGAGUCAUUUUCUACAAUUCCCUAGCGUUUAUAGCAUGACACAGCCCAGAUUAUCUUUUAGGUUAAAGGGUUAUCAAUAAAACAAAUUUUCGCUGCUCAAUAUUUUUGACACAGUGACUUACAAUUUUGAUUGGAAAAAACUAAAUUUUAAAUGAAAUUGUUACAUGCGUCCAUAGUUUAACUUAUUAGUUCACACGCAUGAUAAUACACACACAUACACACACAAACAUAUAUAUAUAUAUAUAUAUAUAUAUAUAACAUUUUAACUGAUAACAUCAAUUUAUCAGUCUUUAAUUGAAAUAUAGAAUUUGAGAAGCAGCAUGAGUUUUAUACACUUCGUUAUAUUUAAGUAUUUAUAGUGAAUUUAAUGUGUUUCAUUAGGGAGUUGUAAUUUAUAAACAUUAUAUACAAGAUUUUAAAACAUACACUCAACCACAAAAAAUAAAAAAUACAUUUUCUAAUAUAUUUAUGAAAGCUUUAGCAACUCGGUUGAAAAGAAAUAUUAAGAGUAAUUUGAUAUAGUGGGCGUUUGUGAGAACCCUUUAAAUUCUUCACAGUAAAGUUUAAUGUGAAACCACGCUUUCUAUAUAACAUUUGUGACCUAUAUGCCCCUAUAAUAUAUUUCACUUAACCACUUGCAAAAAGAGUAUUUGUGUAUAUUUAUAAGCUUGUGUAAAUGAGCAUUUGUGAAUAUUUAGUUUUAAAAACUGGUGAAAAUAACUCUAUAUAUUCUAAUAAAUGUUUCAUGCAAGUUGGUAUGCACAUAUGUGUGUAUGCCAGUUUUUGUAUAUAUAUAUAUAUAUAUAUAUAUAUAUAUAUAUAUAUAUAUAUGCAUAUUCUUAAACAUACACACUCACACACACAUAUACAUGUAGACACAUACAUAUGUACACAUAUUGUGUAUAUACUGUAAGCACAUGUACACAGAAGAGAAGGAGAGGGCAGUAAUAUUUGGCAAUAGCUUGCUUAGAUUUCAUCUAUUCUGUUUAUGAAAAAUUCUGUGCUAUUUCUGCAAUGUAAUCAUCUUUUUUAUCCCCUAAAGCCCAAGUCUCCGAUGCCCACUGACUGCUUUCUUUCGAAAUGAAAAGAAAUUCCUACAUUUUACCAAAACGUUUGUUUUCUCGUAUCCCAGCUUAACCUCAGAAGAAAUUAUUUCCCGCUAAUGAGUCUGUUGAAGAAAGAAUAUACUUGAAAAUUUCCGACUCGCAUCACUACAGAAAUUUAAUGAGAUCCACAAAAUUAUUUUUAUGUGACCGCAGAAGUGACCUAUGUUUUGAAGUAUACAAAAAUUCUAUUCAUAGUCACAGAAUGACCUAAUUUGUUAUUGCACUAUAUCUAUAUUAGAAUUUGGUAUAUAUUUAUAGAUGUAUGUAUGUAUGAAUAUAUAUAUAUAUAUGUGUGUGUAUGUGUGUGUAUGUGUGUACGUGCAUGUUCAUGAGUCUGUGUGUUAAUAUGUGUGUGCGAAUGUUCAUGUAUUUGUGUGGCGUCUAAAGUAAUUCUGAAUAUGUUUGUGUAUGUAUGCAAAUAAGGGAACUCAAUAAGCACAAUUGUAGAAGCAUCAGAUACAAAUUUUGUACCAUUUCUCCCAGCGUUUUAAUUCCUGAAUUGAAAUCAAUCUCAUAAUGAGUCGAUUCGAUCGGCUAAAGUCUUUUGAAAGAUCUCUCAAUCUUGGUGUCCUCGUGUCUGUCUCAGAAAUAAAUAUUGUUUUCGAUGUGCGAUAUUGUGUCAACUUCCGAUAUUUUUGUUUAAUAAAGAAAAGUAAAUGUCUAAAUAUAUCUGAUGCUUCCGAACGAAUUUGCUGACGUACCAGAGAAGAAACUUCGAAAUGUACCUCACCUUAUGUUUUUGUCUUUAUUCUCUACAUCCGUUAUAUCUUUUAGUGAAGUUGAAAAUCGCAGCAAUAAUUUCGCAUUAGUUUCAUUAACAAACAAAAUCUAACAUUUAAGCGGCUACCGCUAGUGUCCAAGUUCUACAUGUAACUUGGACACCAGCUGUGGCUGCUUCAAUAGAGUAGAACUGCUUUUUGAAUAUAUUGUUCCAACUACAACAAUAUUGUUCCAACUAUUUUAAAAUUUAUUAUUGCUGUUAUUGUUAUCGGUAGUCGAAGGAGAGGGGCAAUGGUGGUUUUGUUAAUAGCACAGGCAUCCAUUCCCUUGCUGUUGAUCAUAUGUUAUCAUUCUCCAACAUAUCUACUAUGGUCUAAUGCAUAAUUGACCCGAGAUGUUCUAGCAGUAACGGUCAGAUCUUUUGAGACAUAACUAGAUCAAUGUUGUUGCAUAUGCGCAUCUGUUUAUAGAAUAUUAUUGAGGUUUGCCUGAGAAUUGGCUUUUGUUUCUAGUAUUCUGAGAGAUUACAGAAAACUUGUAUUGUUAUUGCUUUCUCUCCUCCUUUUGACAAUUUUUUUUUCAUAUAUAUUUUUACAUUCCUUGGUAGAUUUAUCCUGUCUUUCUCCGGUGAUUAGACUCUUAUUUGUAUUUUUGCUUGUGUCUAUAGCUAGUUUAUAAAUAUAUUUACUAACUUCCUACUUUUCCUGCAUGUUGCUCACCUCAUUGCAACUACACAAUAUCACUCACAUCGCGUCUUUCGUUUUCUUUUGUUUAAGAAUUUCUAUUUCGUUUGUUUACCGUUGUGAAUGUAAAUUUUAGAUAUCUAGUAUCAACGUGGGAUAUAUGCAAUUUUUGCGUGUCUUUUGCUAAUUCUAUAUUUAUCGAAAGUUAGAAAUAAAAAUUACCAUUGCUUCACAUUCAGCAAGUUAUUGGUAUAUUUUUGAGACAGAGUUGUUUCGGAUGAGGGAAAUGUAGAUCUGUAAUCCUCACAAGGUUAUAUAUAUAACGUUGUUAUCACUAGUGAGCAAUCUUCACUACUCGCUGAAAAUAUCAUAUCAGGUGAUUUUGCAGGAUGUUAUUUUUGUAAGAUAUUUCGAUACAAAACAUUAAUAAACAGAAACACAAGCCCUAACAGAAUACACAAAAGGUUUCGACAAACUGUGUUACUAGUUAGAGAAUAGGAAGUUAAACUCUACAAGCUAAACUCUGGAUUUUUAGUCACAUGAACCGAUGCAUUACAUCAAUUUGUAAUUGACAGACAAAAAUAUGGCGGCCUGCGCUAACCGUUUCCUUUUUUCUACUGAUAAAUAUGAAUGUUUUAGCUCGUGCAUGCACAUUACACACGUAGGAAGUCGCUUUGUUUUUGUAACUCUUUACUCUUUUUACUCUUUUACUUGUUUCAGUCAUUUGACUGCGGCCAUGCUGGAGCACCGCCUUUAAUCGAGCAGCUCGACCCCGGGACUUAUUCUUUUUUGUAAGCCCAGUACUUAUUAUAUCGGUCUCUUUUGCCGAACCGCUAUGUUACGGGGACGUAAACACACCACCAUCGGUUGUCAAGCAAUGCUAGGGGGACAAUCACAGACACACAUACACACACACGCAUAUAAACAUAUACAUAUAUACAACGGGCUUCUUUCAGUUUCCGUCUACCAAAUCUACUCACAAGGCUUUGGUCGGCCCGAGGCUAUAGUAGAAGACACUUACCCAAGGUGCCACGCAGUGGGACUGAACCCGGAACCAUGUGGCUGGUAAACAAGCUACUUACCACACAGCCACCCCUGCGCGUGUAUUUUUUUAUUUUCUGUGUAUGUACACGAGUGUCGUGUUGGCAUUUAUGUUACUUGUAAAGGUGGCGAGCUGUCAAUAUCGUUAGCACGCCGGGCGAAAUGCUAAGCAAUAUUUCGUCUGUCUUGUCUUUAUGUUCUGAGUUCAAAUUCUGCCGACGUCGACUUUGCCUUUCAUCCUUUCGGGGGUCAAUAAAUUAAGUACCAGUUGCAUAUUUGGUUGAUCUAAUCGAAUGCCCCCACCCCGCAAAAAAACUAAAAGAUUUCAGGCCUUGCUGGCCGAAUCGUUAGAAAGCAGACAGUAGUACUUAAAGGUAUUUCGCUCGUCGCUACGUUCUGAACUUAAAUUCCGCCGAGAUUCACAUCGCCUUUCAUCUUUUGAGGAUCGAUAAUUUAAGUACCAGUUGUGUACUGGUGUCGAUCUAUGCAUGUUAAAAUUAUCACUACAUUUGUUGUGUUUUAGAUGGAAAGUGCUUUCCCUAGUAAUAUAUAGGAUGAACCCAUCAAGGUUAUCUUUCGUUGAUAACGGAGAUUGGAAUUACGAGGGAGUUGCUUAAUACACUUCUCAGCUCCCUUCUUUAUCAUUCCCGAUGCACCAAUUACUACUGGUAUUAUCAUAGUACUAAGCUUCCACUUUUUGGGGAUUUCAAUUUGCAGAUCUUUAGACUGAGAAAGCUUUUCGUAUUCCUUUCUUGAGACAUAUACGUAUAUGGAUAUGGAUAGUUAGAUAACACAUAGAUAGAUAGAUAGAUAGAUAGAUAGAUAGAUAGAUAGAUAGAUAGAUAAAUAACAUAUAUAUAUAUACAUCAUCAUCAUCAUCAUCAUCAUCGUUUAACAUCCGUUCUCCAUGCUAGCAUGGGUUGGACGGUUCGACCGGGGAUCUGGGAAGCCAGAAGGCUGCACCAGGCUCCGGUCUUAUCUGGAAAUGUUUCUACAGCUGGAUGCCCUUCCUAACGCCAACCACUCCGUGAGUGUAGUGGGUGCUUUUUACGUGCCACCUGCACUGGUGCCAUAUAUAUAUAUAUAUAUAUAUAUAUAUAGAGAGAGAGAGAGAGAGAGAGAGAGAGGUGUACAUAUAUAUACGUCCCGAUGCUGGGAUGUCAUCGCGUAGUUUCUGCGAGUGAUAGCGAGAGGUAGAGGGGGAAAUUUUGAACGCUUAGAGCGUAGGAAAAUGCUUUGCGGUAUUCCGUUGUUUAUUUUUUUUUUUUUUUUUUUUUUGUUGCUUAAGUGGCGAGUUAAAUAUCGAAUCGUAAGUCAACUGUAACCUUUAUCCCUCUCGUACCCGUACAAUAUCGUACCACAAAGGUCGAACUGAUUAAAAUGCUGGCGUUUUACCGAAAUCGGAAAUUCCUUGUAUAUAUUUAGGUUAUAAUAUACAUACGUGUCUGUUUAUAGACAGAAGCGAAUAUUUCUAUUAUGUCUAAGUAUAUCCAAAUGAUAUAUAUAUAUAUAUACAUACAUACACACACUCACAUACACACACAUAUAAUAUAUACACACACAUAUAUAUAUAUAUAUAUAUAUAUGUGUGUGUGUGUGUAUGUAGGUAUAUACACGCGCAUACACACAUAUAUUUAUAUAAUCUACAUAUUGUGUAUGCACACGCAUACACACAGGAAUAAUAUAGGCACGUAGAUGCUAACGCCCCCUUCUCCUAACACAAACACACACAUACACACACACACGUAUACAUUCAUUCUCGAGUAUAUAUUUUUUGUGUGUAAAUAUAUAUUCGCUUCUAUAUUAUCCUCUUUUAAAAUAUUUCGUUUGAAGUCAACGGAACAAGCGUAUGUGUUGUUUGCGUUUAUGUUUAUUCAUCAUUGUUAUUAUUGUUGAAAUAAUCGAUGAAUUUCUUUCGUAUAUUUGUCAUAUGAAACAGAUGGUUCCCUUAAAAUUUAGUACGAUAAGAAUGAACAAAGGAUUAUACUUAAAUAAGUAUUCUUAGUUCUUUACAUAUGUUUAUAAAGUUCUUUCAAUGAUUACAUACUGAUCGUUGCAAAUGCUGAUAUUAACCAAGUGUGAUUGAUAUUUUUAUAUAUUAAUUUCGAUAACAAAAAACAAGGAAGCUAUUCAAUAUAAAAGACCAAUUAACAAUUUUUUUAAGAGAGUUAUCUACAUGUGCACAGAAUUUUAGUGAAAAUGAGUUUUCGAGAUAAUAUUAACAAAUAAAGGAAAAAAAAUUUAGUAUGCAAUUUAUACAUUCACUAUUGAAAUUAAAAUACUGACAAGCAAACGCCAACAUAUAUACCGUAUGCGUGUAUAUAUAUACAUAUGUAUGUUUGUAUGUAUGUAUACGAAUAUAUAUAUACGAAUUUAUAUAUAUAUAUAUAUAUACGAAUUUAUAUAUAUAUAUAUAUAUAUAGUAACUAUCUGAAAUAUAUAUGUACGUAUGUGUGGUCGAUGCCAUUAUUUAUUUAUAUCGCAUAUUAUGUACUGUAUCGUUAUUAGUUAUAUGUAUCUGUCCGCGAGUCAUGACUCUAUGCAUUACUGUAUGGUAUGCGAUAUUGUAACUUUUCUGGAAGUCGGAGACAACUGAACAAAGAUGUAUUUUUGUGUCAACAGUAGCGGUUUAUCGUUUCCCUCGCUUCCAUUUAAAUCUUUCGAUAUUAUAUGCAAGUGAAAUGCAAAGAAAUAAACAGAGAUACGUGAAUGCAUAUUUAUGUGUGUGAAUGCAUGUGCGUGUAUGUGUUUGUGUGAAUGUAAGCGUGUAUCUGUAUGUGUGUGUUUUAGCGUAUGUCUACGUGUAUAUAAAUAUAAAUAUAUAUAUAUAUAUAUAUAUAUAUAUAUAUAUAUAUAGGUGAGAAAGUUGGUGUGUGAAAGCACGUGGUUGACUAUAUAGAAAAUAGUAAAAAGUGAAAAAACUACAGAAGGCUUGUUUUAAAAGGUUAAAAAAUAUAUAUUUGAGUCAUUAUGUCAGAAGAAUGUUAUAAAUUUUUUUUCAUACAGUAACAUAGUUUUUGAAGAAAUGACCGGUUUCGCGUUCAGCUUUUCACAUUUCUUACAUCGUUAUCUUUUCGUUGAGAAGUGUAAAGAAGAGUUACAGGUAAGGGGAGGUAAUAAGUGAUUUCUUCCGGUGUAAGGGAGAUAAUCGCUUAAUAUUUCUUGCCUUUUUAUAUAUAUAUACAUACAUGUAUGUAGGGUUAUAAUCAAAUGUUUUCAAAGCGUAAGUUGACACAAUAUUAUUUGAUUCUCUGAAGAAUUCAUAAUAGGAAAUAUCUUACCUGUUUUUCCUACAUGUACGAUUUUGUAACUCUUAUCAGCAAAUGAAACAACUGUAGUGGUGAAUGAAUAAUUCCAAAAAUGUUAUCAGUGUUCUAGCAUUCUGGCAAAGAACUUCAUAGAUACAAGCAUGCAUUUAUCUUCCUCAUUUGAACUCGUCUAAAGAAAGAGCCUUUUGUUUGUAAUGCCUGAAUGAAAAUAUUUGUAGCAAUUUCACAAACGUUCAUUUUAGGUCAAACUAAACAUUCCGUUUUUUAUUCAACCGCAGGUGAGAAAUAUGCAUGUGCCUUUCGAAAUAGGAAAUCAAGACCUGUGAAUGUAGGCAAGCAACUGAUUCAAUUUAUUUUAUAAUAUUAUCAUUCUUUAAACUUACAAUUUCGUAUUGUGUACGUAUAAAUUGUCUUGCAGUUUAUCCCAAAUUAUGGAUGUAAUUGUGAUGAUAUUAAGCAAAGUUUCAUCCGUAAGACAACGGAAAUAUACAACUAUUACCACCUGCCAAGGUGUCAGAUAAGAAUAUACUGUUGAAAUGGAAAAUAUGAAACACUGUUGAAUUUAAAAUUUAAUACAACAUAAGAGAUUUUCUUGCUUAUUUUGGGAAGCCUUCUCUGGUACUUACUGUUUAUCGAAGACGUUAACUCUUUGCUGAAGCAAUAGGUCACCUGAACGCCCUAUGUAUUUAAAGUACACGGUGUUGGUAUCAUAAUUUCAACGAGUUAGCAGUUAAUAUUGCCAAUGAGAACUAAUGUUUCCUUUUGUUUGUUGACAGUCAUUGGAAUGCAACCUUGCUAAGGCACAGUCUGAAAGUGUUUUAGUCGAACAAAUCGCUCUCAGUUCUUAUUUCUUAACGUCUGGUAAUUAUUCUGACCGUCUUUCAUGACGACCUACUAUGUUACGAGGAUGUAAACAAACAGCGGUUGUCAAGCAGUGGACGGCCGGACACACACCCACACACUAACACGCACACUAUACAUUCUUUCAGUUUGAGCCUACCAAAUCCAUUGAAAUGAUUUUGACUGGCACGGGCCUAUAGCAGAAAGCACUUCCCCAAAGAGAUACAUAGUCAUAUUAAGAAAUGAAUAGUAGAGUAUUAAGAACAGUCAAUGUUCUGUAUAAUUGUGUGUAUUUAUUUUUAGUAUAAUCUUACAAUACUGUAUAAAACGUAUUCUAUAUUCAAUGCCAGUGUAUUGUAAUGUGUCAAGGCAAUAAUGAGGAGAAUGGUUGCUUCUCGAACAUGCUUGCUUGGUUAUUGGUACAGUCAUCCCUCUAAUAUAUAUGUUCCAAUACUCGGUUGUAUGAAACCCUGUGUUACGAUCAAGAAAAUGCAGAUGCAGAUUGAAAUAAAACCUGAUUGUUUCACUUACAUAUUUUAUCAACUUAUAUACUGAGAAAACUUUUGUUAUUCGUUUGCCUGUGCAUGUGUGCGCAGGAGGUGAGAAAGACAUAGAGAAAAAGAUAUAUAUAUUCUAUAUAUGUAUAAAAAAUAUAUAUAAAAAUACAAAAUGGGACAAGAACGCAAAACAUUCAAAUAGACAUAUAUAUAUAUAUAUAUAUAUAUAUAUAUAUAUACCACACGCGCGUACACGUUUUUAUAUAUAUGAGGGGAAAAUGUCAAGGAUUGACUAAAAAUACGACAUUACCAUAAAUGUUUCUGAACGAAUAUAGGGACAACACUAACUACUACUACUACUACUACUACUACUACUACUACUACUACUACUACUACAAAGUGAAAUAAUAUAAAGAUGCAGAGCUAUUAAAUUGUGCAUUUAUAUAAGAGCUGUUGCGGUUGUAUAUACAUUUGUUUCUGCACGGUUUACUGCACGUCUCUGUGAUAGCCAGGCACAAAUGUAUUUUGUUGAUAUAUUUAUGAUAUACAGGAUUCCAACCCCAGUGAAUAUUCAUGUCAUUUCACCCGAUGCAACUAACAUGAGGUGAACUUGUCUUCACAAAAUUUAUUACACCAUAAGCAUGUACUAUUACUGAAAUCUAUAUUGAGCUAUUUAUUAUCUUGUACGUUAAAUUAUAUAUAUGUUUGUGUUUGUGUGUGUUCGUGUGUGUGUGUGUGUGUGUGUGUGUGUGCAUAUGUGUGCACGCGUCUUUGUGUAUAUUUAUAUAUAUAUAUGUAUACCGGUGUAUACUCGUACAUCUAAGAGUUAUAGAUAAAGGACUGUGAGGCCCCUUUAUGAUUCUUGCGCUCCGUCAAAGACUUGCACAUGUCAUUGCAUAACACAUAGUUGUGCUGGCUAUCAGAAGGAACCAGUGCCUCAGUCUGAAGUCAUUUGACCUGUUUCUCUUAUCCUCCAACUUAAUGCCACACCUUUCUACAGGUUGUAUAUGUUCUGUUGUCAACGAUAGCUGUAUCAUAAUUUACAAAGUGUAUAUUCCUGUGGCUAGUUUGAUGGCUGACCAAUCCUGCACAUUCAAGCAUAGCCUUCUGCAGAUUACACACGUAAAAAUCAAUACUCCUUCAUUUUCUGCUGGUUCAUUUUUUCUAAGCUUUCUCCUAAUCAUCUAUGCUUCAUUCUCUCUGGCAAAUUUCCAGCAACUGUUGCGCAACAUUUUCCUCCACUUAUUUUGGUGCUGUGCUCCACUCUCCCAAACAAAUAUCUGAAAUAAGUGUUUGUGUGAAAGCAGUUUUAAGACAGACAUUGAAACUCAUUUUAGGUUUAUCUGCUGGCCUUUUACAAUCUGUCAGCUCACCAUUCAAAAUUUGCUUUGGAAGAUUUUCACCAUUCAUUCUCACCACAUGUCCACCCCACACCGCAAACGACUUUGAAGAACGAUCGAUGUCUCAAGUACUUCAACAUCAAUAAUCUCCAUCCUCAGGUUUUAUUCGAAGAAUUUUCCGAUUACUGUUGAUGGAAUCGUUCAAAAUGCUUCAGACUUGUACGAUAAAUUACUCGUGUCUGACUUGCAUAGAACAAUGAUGGCAGAACACAUUUGUUAUAAACCUUAACUUUAAUUUGGGUAAAUAUGCCAUGGCGAGACAAGAGACGCUAGUGAAGCCUACCAAAGGUAUCACUAACUUCAAAUCAACUAGUACACGAACACCUAACUGAAGGCGAUGCAUGCGAUUGGAUGUAUUUGGAUACAUAUCGCUUGUUGAUAUCAGGAAGGGGCAUUAUUAGAAAAUAUGGACUAACCACUGCUAAAAAUAAAUAUCUGUCUCAUGUUGGUGUGUUUAAGUCCUCGUAACUUAGCGGUUCGGCAAAACUGAUAGAAUAAUAGCUAGGCUUACAAAGAAUAAGUCUUGGGGUUGAUACGUUUGACUAAAGGUGUUGCUGCAGCAUGGCCGCAGUCAAAUCACUGAAACAAACAGAAGAAUAAAAGAAUAUGCGUAUAUAUAUAUAUAACAUUUAAAUAAUGCGGGAGAUAAAUUGAAUAUUAAUUUAAUUAAUACACACACACACACACACACACACACAUAUAUACAUAUAUAUAUAUAUAUAUAUAUAUAUAUAAAAUACACAUAUACAUACAUAUAUAUAUAUAUAGUUAAUCCAACCAAGAAAGCCCAAAAAUCACAACAACGCGAGGACGUGGAAUAAAUAUAGUAUCAUUGGACGCUCAGGAAAGAAGGAAAGAAGGAGGGUCUAACGUUUCGAGCGGAGCUCUUCGUCGAAAACAUAAGAGAAGGAAAGAUCCAGAGAAGGGAAGACAGAGGGGAAAAAAAUCGCCAACAGUACACACGAGGUCACGUACAAAUUUAUAAACUAAAUCCACUCAUAGAUGCUAGAAGAGCUAACAUACGAGUGUUUUACUGCUUUACGAUUUUAUUAUUUCGAUAUAUGCGUACUUACACACAUAUAUACAUACAUACAUAUAUAUAUAUAUAUAUAUAUAUAUAUAUAUAUAUAAUUGUUUCGAACAUUAUUUUUUAACUAUGUGAAUUUAUGUCAGAAAAAGAAUUAAAGAAAUGUGAUGAAAAAUCUCUUGUAAGACUGCAUAAGACAAAUUUGUAAUUAUUAACAAAUAUUUCGAAUUAAUACACUCGGCUUUUAUAUAUAUAUAUAUAUAUAUAUAUAUAAUAUUUACAAUUGGUUCUUGUCUUGAUCGACAAUCUUCAGGUGGAUUUCAAUAAGUCAGUUUUAUAUAUAUAUAUAUAUGUAUUGAUUAAGUCAAAAUAUGUAUAAAUUUGGAUUUAUUCCCUAAUAUUUAUUAUAUAUAUAUAUAUAUAUAUAUAUAUAUAUAUAUGUACGUACGUACGUACGUACGUACGUAUGUAUGUAUGUAUGUAUGUAUGUAUGUAUGUAUGUAUGUAUGUAUAUGUGUAUGUAAGUAUGUGUGAGUGCGGUGAGCGUUCGUGUGUGCUUCACUUUCAAAAGAUACCAUCUGCACAAGGCUAGAAUUGGAAAUUAUCCAGUCUUGUAUUUGUUUAUUUCGAAGCCUACUGUCAGGAAGGAAGUAUACGAAAAUAUAAUUAUAAUCGUGUACACACAUACAUACAUACAUAUAUAUAUAAAUAUGUGUGUGAGUGUGUGUAUUCAUAGGAAUUAUGGGGUAAUAUAAUUAUGAUAAAGUAAGGAUAUACACUCACAUAAACAUAUAUAGGUAUAUAUAUGUAUACAUAUAUGUGUGUGUGUAUGUGUGUGUGAGAGUGUGUAUGUGUAUGCUUCUGCAUGUAUGUAUAUAUAUGUAUACAUAUAUAUAUAUAUAUAUAUAUAUAUACAUACAUACAUACAUACAUGUAUGUAUGUAUGUAUGCUGGUAGGUAGAUAUAAGUAGGUAGGCAGGUAGGCAGGAGGCAUGCAGGUAGCUAGGCAUGCACGUAGGUAGGUAGGUAGGUAGGUAGGUAGGUAGGUAGGUAGGUAGGUAGGUAGGUAGGUAGGUAGGUAGGUAGGUAUGUAGGUAGGUAAGUAGGUAAUUCAAGUAUUUGAAAAUGAAUUACAAUUUAUUUAACGCAAUGCAAACAUUUCAUGGCAUAAAAUUCAAUGCGUUAUGUGGUUCGGAUGAAUAUGUUUACUAAAGCAAAAAUUGACAGUCUUCCACUUCAGAGUUUACUCCGAGCUUUGCUGAUUCUGCCGUAUAUUUCAUAUACAUGUAAACACACACUAACUCACGGAUUGAGGAACAUAAAAAUGCAAACAUAUCGAUGGAACUGUAGAUAAAUACCUAUCUUUAUGCAUAUUUACAUAGACUUAUUUUAAAGGUACAGAGUUAUAAACGAAAUCUACUCAUAUCCAUCUGCUUGUUGAAGCAGUCUUCGUAAGAGUUGCCCUUUAGAUGCUAGAAGAGCUAACAUAUGACUGUUUUACUGCUUUAUGAUUUUAUUAAUUCCAUAUAUGCGUACUUACACACAUAUAUACAUACAUACAGACAAACACACAUACACACACACACGUAUAUAUAUAUAUAUAUAUAUAUAUAUAUAUAUAUAUAUAUAUAUAUAUAUAUAUAUAUAUAUAUAUAUAUAUAUAGAUAGAUAUAUAUAUAUAUAGAUAUAGAUAGGUGCAGGCGUGGCUGUGUGGUAAGUAGCUUGUUUACCAACCACAUGGUUCCGGGUUCAGUCCCACUGCGUGGCACCUUGGGCAAGUGUCUUCUACUAUAGCAUUGGGCUGAUCAAAGCAUUGUGAGAUUUGUAGACGGAAACUGAAAGAAGCCCGUCGUAUAUAUGUAUAUAUAUAUAUAUAUGCGUGUGUGUGUUUGUGUGUCUGUGUUUGUACCCCUAGCAUUGCAUGACAACCGAUGCUGGUGUGUUUAUGUCCCCGUUACUUAGCGGUUCAGCAAAGAAAAACAGAUAGAAUAAGUACUGGGCUUACAAAGAAUAAGUCCUGGGGUCGAGUUGCUCGAUUAAAGGUGGUGCUCCAGCAUGCGUCAGCAUGGCGGUGCUCCAGUCAAAUGACUGAAACAAGUAAAGAGUAAAAGAGUGAAAAAAAUAUAUAUAUAUAUGUAUAUAUAUAUAUAUAUAUAUAUAUAUAUAUAUAUUUUUUGUAUAUUUUUUUUUACUUGUAUAUAUAUAUAUAUAUAUAUAUAUAUAUAUAUAUAUAUAUAUAUAUGUAUAUAUACCAGCCAGUGCCACUAACUGCCCACCAUCAUAUUGCGUCCCAGAAAUUUGUAAUCUAGCAUUACGCAGAAGGCCCGUUUUUUAAUAUUUAUGUUACUCGGGUCAUGAUCGUAAAGUCGUGAGUUUGUUUACCAGCGACCUUUGAGCAUGAAAAUUCAUUGUAUAAUGCUCCUGUCCAUUGAGCUCGUAUAUAUGAGUUGGACAUAUAAAUGAAAGGCGUACAUUUACACCGUACUAUGUCACGCUGGAUUGACGUUCAGGUAUCUCGUGUCUAUGGAGUGCUCAGCUACUUGAACUCACUUUCACGAGCGGACACUUUGUUGGCCGAAGGAUCGUUGAUCGUCUUAACCAAUAGAGAUUCAGGCCAGAAACCAAAUUGUCCAACAACGUAUAAACUCAUCAGACUUUGUAUUAACCCCGUACUACAAUUACAUGCUUGAAGUCGUUCAACCAGCCAGCAAACAUAACUGCCCACCUUCAUAUUGCGUCCCAGAAAUUUAAGCACCGCAUUUUUUAUGACGGAACAUCCUUCCAUCUUGGGGUUUUACUUAAAAUCAUGCAUAAUUAAUGGAUCUCAUCCACAAUUUCCAGUCAUGAGAUUUUAAUUGUUCUGCUAUUUCAGUUAUUACCUUAUUGAUAAAACUUAUAAAGUGGUUGCGUAUUCGCAAGAGAGGAGCAAGCCUAAAGUAAUCAGCGAAAGGAAUCAGAUAGAAGCGGGCAUAAAAUUCGAUCUUUGAAUUACAUUUAUGAUUUACGUGACGAACUCCCAUGUUGUUGCCAGCUACACAAAUUUCGUUCUUUCCCGUGCUUUCCUAAAAAAUAUUCAAGUUUACCAAAACUUGCGAAUCGGAUAUACCAGGAUUUUUAUGCUAAAUUCCCAAAACUUGACCACACUGCUUCUGUGUCUGGAAAAUUUUUAACAUUAAAAAAGAUACGUAAAAAUAUGUGCAGUUAUAUUUGCCUAUAAAUUCAUAUCUAUCUAUCUAUCUAUCUAUCUAUCUAUCUAUCUAUCUAUCUAUCUAUCUAUCUAUCUAUCUAUCUAUCUAUCUAUCUAUCUAUCUAUCUAUCUAUCUGUCUGUCUGUCUAUCUAUCUGUCUGUCUAUCUAUCUAUCUAUCUAUCUAUCUAUCUAUCUAUCUAUUUUCAAUUUACGAUUUUCUCCGUUAUUGGUACGGGGGCUUAGAACUUUUCCUUAUUCCUCCGAUUUCCAUUAAUGUUAUCAGUGAAAAUCUGUGGUGUUCAGCAAGUGAGAUGGAGUCAUAUCAAUACUGAUUUCAGAUUUGAUUAAUCUUUAUUAGACACCCAUUACUCCGUCACAGAUUCUAAAUUGCUAAUAACCACCUUAAUAAUUGUUAUACAUACAUACACACACACACGUGUUUGUGCAUGUGUGUGUGUGUCUGUGGGUGUGGGUGUUAGAUCCUGAGUUGUUGACCUGCAUAUAAAUUUUUGCUUACUGGCCUUUUCGGACUGCACAGAUGUCUCGCAGGCUUAGGAUAGCUCACCGUUGAAUUAUUCUAGAACAGCCAGCAUAAUUAAGGUUGUAGGGUCAAAGGGAACAUAAUCCUAAUAUUCUUUCUUAUCUUUUCCUCUCAGUCCUUACUUUUUACCUGUUUAUUCACCCACCAACAUUUUUGCAUUUAUCUAUUUCUAGUUCCUCCCCCCCCGUGAUUUCUCUUGUAUCAGCGUUCUGAAGAGGCGAAACUGAAUAGACCAUCAACCUGAAGAUUACUUCAGGUUAAAAAUCCGGUCUAGACCUACGUCUCCAAAGUUAGAAACUAUUAGUAGCUUGUAUCUUCAUCCUUUGUAUAUGUCUAUAUACAUACAUACAUACAUACACACAUAUACGUAUAUAAAUGCAUGGUGGCUGCCCACCUCGUUAUCGAGUAUCGCCAUUGCAUGAAGCUUAAUCAAUGUUGUUAUCGUGCAAUGCCUGUGCAAAAAGAUUUUUUUAAGUGAGGAAAGGCUGUGCACUGAGUCAAUCCCACUCACUAAGCAACAGCAGCCAUAAUCCGAAAAGAAGAACAAGUCAACAUCAUCGGUAACCACUGAGCCGCAGGUUUUAUGUCGGAGUUAUCCCAGUUACCUGAGUUACCUUCUCCUAGAAGGAUGCCCUAACAAAGGCUAGGAGUCCUUCACUCCCAAUGGUUUAACCGCGCGACCGGAUAUUCAGUUCGAUUAUUUCUAUGCCCCCGUGCGUGAUACAGCCUUAAGACAUUUAUUGGAUGGCCGUUGACUCUCAAGAGUUCCUCCGCCCCUUGACGGGAUUUGUUUUUCAUCCCGUAGGGUGUCCAAUAAACACUCUCCUCACCAAGCAAGCUUGGUGGGGUUGCUGGUUUAGUCGCCGACGACCAGAUCGUGCAACAGGUUGUACUGGGUAUAUAUAAAUGAAUAUAUACAUAAUUACAUACAUAAACACAUACAUACGUGCAAACAUAAAUACAUACAUAAAUACAUACAUACAUGCGUGCAUACAUAUAUACAUACAUACUUACAUACAUCGGUAUGUUUGUAUAUUCUAUGCCAUUGGUCAAAUAGUUGUAAACCCUCUGAUGUGACCCCAAAAUCGUUCGUAAACCGUUAAAGACUAUUCAUCUUACACUCAGUAUGCGGAGAAAUAAUAAAAUGUUUCACUGUGUAUAUAUCUGCUACGUAGGCUACAUAUAUACAUCCAUAUAUAAACAUGUAUAUUUUAUGUACUCACUCACACGCACACACACAUAUAUAUAUAUAUAUGAUUUCAGUGUUUACUGCUUUUAGUGUUCAUUUGCGCAGUGACACAUAUAUUCCCACGUAGAAACAGGCACACAUAUUAUGUAUGCGGGUGUGUUUGUGAAUGUCGUCUUUUAAGAAAUUAGAAUAUUGCUCAGAUUUUAUAUUGAAUAAAAUAAUAUACAAAUAUUAGAAGCGCAUUUGUGAUAUCAGUUUUUCUUUAAUGUUAUUCCAAAUGAGAAUAAUUUGUUUGCCAUAUCUGUUGAUCAACAAUUUAUUGCAACAAACUCAACUAUAAUAAUUCUUUUAUUAUUACCAAAUAUUCGAAUUAAUAUACUACUUACUAUGUACAUUUUUCAGCUUCUUUUCUUUGUGAAUUCUGUACUUCUCUUCCAAAAGAUAUCAAGCUAGACAUAGUUAGAAUUGGAAAAUCUCCAAUCCUAUAUUUCUUUAUCGGAAUGCAACUGUCAAGAAGGAAGUAUAAAUAAAAAAAUCAUUUUUAUAUGUGUGUUUCUGUUUGCGUAUGUAUGUUUGCCUGGGUGUUCGUUAUUGAGUGGAGAGGUUGUGGUAGUUUCAUUUGACUUAAUCAACAAAUAGUGAUUCUUGUAUCUAACGACUGGAACUUAAAUUUCAUAUUGCAUAAUUCAAUGUUUAGAGAGAGGCUCUUCAAUAUUUAUAUCAAAAUUUUGACGUGGCAUUUAUCUUUAGAGUAUUUAAUACACCAUAUUCACUUACAACUACAUGUCCCUCUAUAAUUACAUAUAUAUAUAUGCAUACAUACAUAUAUGCACAAACGUACGUAAGGUAAUAAACACUUUUAUAUACAACCUCCUGAUAAUUCUUCUAUACAACUAGUAAAUAAAUACACGUUUCCCGCUACAAAAAUUCAAAAAUAAAUAGAAAUAGCAAAACAGAAACACUUAAGUAUGAAUUUAUCACCCUCAACGUGGCAUCCAGAUCUGUUGUCGAGAAACACUUAUGUCGUAAGAAAUCCUUUUAAAUAAUUUCCUUGAAAAUCAGACAUAAUGCAUCAGCUCAUCGGAAAUAUAUCUCAACUAAGGUGCAGAGAUGGGCAUCCAGAAUAUUUGUACCGUUAUGGCAAAUCAAAUGAUCAAGUUAAAGGAUUUAUGUUAAUCAAAAUCUUAUUAACUUUAUCGGAUGCCAUUGGAUUACCUCUCACAGACAAUUGAAAUAGUUAUUUGGGAUCGCCGAAAAUUAAAUGAAAACGUUUGAUGUAGGCUGUUCUUUGGAUAGGUGACCUGGUUGUUUUUCCGAUUGCCUGCGUUAUGUCCCACUUAAUUGCUUUUGAACUUUGUUUUAGAGUGUCACAAUUUACAACUUGUUGCUCGGUGCAGCCACAUUCCAAACAAUGAAUACGAAUCCUUAAAAUAGCCACAAUGUGUAGCUGGGUAGCGAAAUUACUAUGCCUUAUGAAAAAAGAUGGUACUUCAUUAUAUGAAAUGAGGGCCUUCAUUUUGCAUCCUAGAAAUACGCCCGCAUUUUAUGCAUUGAUAACAGAUCAGAAAAAAAAUGUCUUAAUUGCCUUCAAAUGACUUUUAUAAAUUGGAACAGUUUCCGCUGAAUUUGUGAGUCAGCUGUCGAGCUUUUCGCUUUUCACUCACUUUCCGAUGCCCAGAAUUUUGUUUGCCUGUUACGAAGAUCAAACGUUACUAUAAAGGAGGUAUUACAAUACGUUUAUGUGUGUGGUGUGUUUGUAUGUGUGUGUGUGUGCGUGUGCCUGCGUGAGUUCGCAUGUGUGUGAGUGUGAAUCGCUACAAUUGCCUGCAAUGAGAAUUCAGUGAAUGAAAAAUCGUGAUACCCACUUUUGCAUUAAUUUCUGUACAUUCUCCUUAUAAGUUUCUGUAUUUUAUCAUUUUUAAGCAAAAGAGAUGUCUCUUAUAUAGGUGUAGUUCUCAAAACCUGUAGCUUCAUACAGAAGAGUGCUUAUGUGUUUCUAGUAAAAUGUUCAUUCUACACAUUUAAAUAUUUUUGAAGCUAAAAUGAAUUUGUUUACAUAAAUAUGUAUUCGAAUUACGGUUUAUUUUUUCUUGACGGUGUAGAGGUUGGAUUAUUAUUAAUGGUUACAUUUCCACUUUAGUUCGCGUGAUACGGUAGUAGGUUAUGCUUUGGCAUGUUUCCCAUAGGACAUUUAUUGAUAUAAUUUAACGUGUCUUUUUCUAUUGUUUACGUUAUAGAUGUAAGUGUUAUGUUUUUUUUUUCUUUUAUGUAAGUCGAAGUAUGAAUAUUUUACUUCAACAUUUUUCAUGAGUUGGGUAGAACUUUAGAUUAUACGCCAUCAUUUAACAAGGAAAGUUAAUUUAAAUUUUAAAUUAUUAAUGCUGUAAAGAAUUCUAAGAAGAACAACUAAAAUAAUUCUUUAAAGUAAUACAAUCAUAUAAGUAUAAUGAUUCAGAAAUCAUAUAUGUUGAAAACUUUAGCAUCUACCUUUGGACGUUGAAGCAGCAUUACGAGAAAAUUAAAGAAAGAAGUAUAGCAAGUUAGAUUAUUGUCACGAGAGAUAAUUGAUUUUCUUGGAAAUUACUAUUGUAAUAAGUAAUUUUUUUGCAAUUCCAUUUGUCAUUAUUAUAUAUUAUAAGUAACUAUUUACUUUUAAAUAUAAAAUGAAGUCUUCAUUAAUUUAUAAUAUUAUCUAAUGACAGAAGUGAUAUAUAUGUUGUUGGACAAUUUUUAGUGCGUGUCUCUGGAUGUUGUUUUGAUUAUAUUUUUUCUAACAAGUUCAUUAUAUAUUCUAAUCUUUUCAUACACUUUUGCCACUUCACUUCGGCAACCGUGUCUGUUGUAGAGAAUUAUUUGUCUUGAAUAUGCAUAUUUUCAGUUAAAUUUUUUUUAUCAUAUAAUUUUACUUUGAAUAGUAUUGAAUAUUUACAUCCAAUUUCUUUUACUCAUGUGAAGGAACACUGCUCCAAUAUAGUGGAUCUGCAUAUUCGUAAAUAUGAUUACUAAUAAAUCUAAUCUGAAAUUACCAAAAUAUUGCUAUUAGAGAAAGCCAAUUUUUGUGUAAGAUAUAUUUCCUUUAUCAGAAAGGACUAUAUAUCGUUUUCACUCGUAACUUUAUUUUGGUUAUAUUCGUUUCCCUAUUACUUUGUCAUCGUAUUUUAAUUGUAGAUUGGUAUAUGUGUAAAAUAACAUAUUUGGCUACACAUAUUUUACGCCUUCAUAUACUUCAUUUUCUGAUUCCUGUUUCUCCGUUGCCUGUCAUGUGAUUUCUUCCAAUUAUUUUUUUAUCUAAAGCAAUGCUUCCUGAAGGUGAAUCAGUUGUGCUUUAAUGCCAAUCAUGACGUUGUGCAUGCAAAUACCAUUUGAAUUCGGAAAAUUCUUUCCAUAUACAAUGUAAUAUAUGCUGUAGUAGCAUCAGGAAAAUAAUAGGUGCAUUCCCUAAAGGAAUGUAAAUUAGUUACAGGUAAGUAAAUUAUAAAGGUUAACAUUAGUUAUGAAAUACAUUUUUGUUCAAUGUAUGCGUAUAUUUGCAUAUGUCAGGGUGUUGUUGGAAUGAUAAGGUUAACGAUUUGAAAUAUGUAAUAAGAGCUAAGCAGCAUAAAUUUCUCGCAAUACUUCGUUAUUUGAAUGAACCAAUCUUUCUCCUGGCACAAAGAGAAACCUAACAGGAAAAAGAGAGACCAAAACAAAAGAAAGCCCCCAAAUCGACCAGCAUGGAUGUAGGGUUAAAUACACAAAUAACGUUAUAUAUUUAUAUCUAUGGUACAACAACGAAAAUGUGCAUAGAAAUACUUGGAUGCACACAUGUGCAUAGAGGUACAUGUGCAUUCCGCCACACACGCACAUAAACUACAUAUGCACGAACACACAAACACUUAUAUUUGGAAAUAUCAUAGUUCAGCUGCAGAUAUGGGCGCACAGUGCUAUAUCUGCAGAAGUGAAAGAUCUUGCAUUUGAUGUUAUAGUUUACACAUAAAAUGACCAGUGACAUCCGGGUGAAAAUGUUGUUGAGAGAAUUUGAAGUAAUAAUAAAGGAGUCAGAAGAAAUUAUAAAGAAUUUGAAAUGAAAGUUAGAAGUAUCACCCUUGACAACUUCCAAGAAUAGGAUAAUGAUUUAUUCUAUUCUUGAGAGUUUUCAAUGGCGAUACAGUUAACUCUCAUUUUAAAGUCCUUUGUUUCUUGAUGAGAUAUCAAAGGUCUUCUGAACAGAUUUUCGAAAAAAAAUUUUUUUAGUUGCUUUAAGGAAUACAUAAGAAUCUAAUCCUCCAAAACAAUAAAGAAAUACAGAAAUAAAAAUACAUCAAGUCAUUAAGAACAAAUCUAUAUAUUACAGUAAUGUAUAGAUUCGUACUUAGUGAUCUGAUGUACUUCAGAAGAACACCUUGAAUGUGUUUCGUGAAAAGCAACUGCAUCUGUAAGAAGGGAAAAAAGAGGCGUCACAUACCUCGAAAAUAGAUUAUAUUGAAGAAUAUUUAACAGUGUCGAAAAAUCUGUGUGUGAGUGUGCGUGUGUAAUUUGGUAUAUGUAUAAAAAGGUAUAGUUACAUAUAUACAUACAUAUAUAUAUAUAUAUAUAUAUAUAUAUAUACAUCAUAUACAUAUAUACAUCAUAUACAUACAUACAUAUAUAUAUACAUACAUAAAUAAAUAUAUAUAUAUAUAUAAAUAUAUAUAUAUAUAUAUAUAUAUAUAAAUAUGUAUGUAUAUAUAUAUAUAUAAUGCAUAUAUUUCGUUUUCGGAUUCGGUUUGUAAGAUUCUUUAUCUUAGUUGAAACAUAUUCUUUUGCGUAUGAGGAGAGUCAUUCUCUUUUAGUGCCUUACAAUUUAACACACUCACCCGCAUAUAUAUAUAUAUAUAUAUAUAUAUAUAUAUAUAUAUAUAUAUGUAUGUAUGCAUGUUACAAAAAAAUGUAUAUACACACACGCACAAGGACGCAUAGAAAAGCAAUGUUCUGUGUUAUUGGUAGAUGAAGCUUAAUAACUGUUAGUACAUACAUUCACUCAUUCUUUACUUUAAAACUUCAUGGACGAUCGUGUUGUGACAAGGUACGUGGAGAAUGUUAAAACACGUAAGAUAACUAAAAACUGCAUGAAAUUCCUAUGCGAUGACGAGAAAUAGGGUACGGCUUUCAUUUUCAUACAUUCUCUACCAUCUCUAGUGGCAAGUGAUGUUUUCAUGUGUAUGUGAAAAACGCAUGUUCUGUGUUCAUCACCAUAUCACCAAAGUUUCAAUUAAUCA
rnacentral:lncRNA from 1 species